UCUUAUCAUAUACAACCACUUUCUUUCCCCUCCAGAAUUGCAUUACAAUUAUGGCCAAAGUUCUUAAAUUACGAUUCUCAACAGAAGUCGCACCGCAAAAAAUUAUCAACAUGCCGAAAUCAUGUCAACUUUCUAAAAAAUUGGAUACAAUCAAUGAAGAAGAAAUUUAUGUAUCAGUUAUUUCAUCUUCUCUCGAUCGAAAACUCGAAAGAGAUAGGUGCUCUAUAUUAGCUUAUUAUUAAGCUAUGGCCUUACAAAAACUGCCUAUAAUAUUGUCCUCCAAAAAAAAUAAAAGCACUAGCUACUACAUACGGUCUUAAAAUCUAUGUCAUUCAGACUCAUCAAAAUUUACUAUCAGGUAUCUGUCGGAUCCUUCAACAUGUGUAGAAAUUUAUCUGAUUUUUCUAUCAAUGCCAUUGCUGGAGCGACAUCGAUCUGAAUGGCUUGGUGACACAAUAUUGGUUGCUGUUGGAACAACACCAUUCACAACCAGAUUAAUCUGUUGCUCAGUUUCAUUCGUCAUUUUCAUUUCAAGCUGCAUGUUUGAAGAUUAUUCGACACUGAUAGAACAACGAUGUUGAAAGGUUCGAGCAACAUAGAUUAAAAUUAACUAUAGCAAGUGCCAAGUUCAUUAAUUCAUAUGAAGAAAAGGACGUUUUUUAUUCCUUUUUUUUUUUAAUUUAUUUUUUUUGGUCUUAGAAUUUUAAUUACUUAGACCUUACUCUUCACUGCCAUAGACUGCGCACAGCGCGGGAGCUUUAGUGUAUCGAGUUGUCCUUUUUACUCUUCACCACCAAUGAGCUUUAAUUUUCUGAAUUUGGAUUUUUAUUUAUUUUUUGUUGAAUAAACACUUUCCUAUAUAGGCAGUGAAAUAUAAUUAAUGGAGAGUAUUGUCUUGAGGACUUAAUUUAUAUAUUCAUGAGUAUAAUUUAAUUUGUUAUAUCAAUUAUCUGUCUUAAUUUUUUGUAGUUCAAAUGUGAUAUAUAUGUUAUAGUUUGAGGAACCAAAAUUAAAUGGUUAUAUUAAUUGAAGGUUAAAUAAGUUCAUUCAAGUUAAGUUUUUCACCAUAGUUGGUUGAGGGAUCAAAAUCACAUGAUUAUAUUAAUUGAGGUUAAUUAAUAUGAUCUUUUUAUCACACAAUUGGAUUAAAAAAAAAAGGUUAAAUAUGUUGAAUUGAAUAACAUAUGAAUUAAAAGUGAAAUAUAGUUAUAACGUAAGGACUUAUUGUUGUUUUUUUUAUAUAAUUCGCAAGGCAUAAGUUAUAUUUUACAAAACAUAAUUUCAGUUUCUAACGUUAUGCUUUAAGAGAAGUUCAUAACUCACAAGUUAUGCUUUUUAAGGCGAAAGUUUAAUUUCAUAAUUCACUCGGUUAUAAGUACUCUUAGUUCUCUAAAACUUUUGUUGGAUGAGGCAAAAAUUUUCUAACUUUUUGUCAUGUGAAUUAGAUACUACAAAGCUUAUGUCAGAUAAGACAAAAGUUUGUGAAAUUAGCUAAUAAUUAAGGAUACUUUAGCCCAUAAACGCUUAUAAAAUAAGAAGUACGGAUAAAAAUAAAAGACCACUAAUUUAAUGGUAAACAUUAAGAGCAAACAACAAAAAUAUAGAAGGGUUGAAUCUUAAUUAUAAUACAUACCGAAAGUUUGAUCCCUAAUUACAAGACAUAUCAAAAAAAGUACCCAGAUGCACCAGCAAAAGUUAGGUGUUUCUAGAUACACACAACAAAAAAUGUGUGUAUCCAUGGAAUUCCGACGAGAUCCAUGAGAUUCCGGCAACGGUUAUGAUAGAUCUCUAACUAUGUAUCAUGCCCAAUUAAUAUGUAUUCAUGUAUCUCAGCCUUAGAUAGACAAUCUCAGAUACACACAAGUUUGUGUAUCUGAGAUACACUAGUCCUCUAAGAUAUACAAGACCUCCGUAUGUUUUGUAAUUUAAUUUAAAAUUAAGGGGGCUUUUGUAAAUAACCAUUUGUUUGACUUUGACAAAAAAAAUAGGGGCAACGUGCAAAAACUAGUAAUCACGAAUUUAGGGCAGGACUCAUCACCCCUCUUCACUUUGUUCCGCCGAGAUACAUAAUAUAUUCAAUGAAGAUACACUUUUUCCUUUGCAAAGAUAUAUAAUUAGCUCCCGAUACAUUUUUUUCAAUUUUAGAUCUAUCGAGAUACACAAUUAUCUCCUGAUAUAUCCAAUGAAGAUACAUAAUUAGUUGAAUUUUUCUAAUUACUUUAUAAGCAUGGAUAUUUGUAUAAAUAUGACAAGUUAAAGUAUAUAUUUAUGUUAUUUUCGAUACAUAAUUAGCUCUCGAUAAUUUUUUUUGAUUUUGAGUCUAUUGAGAUACAUAAUAUAUCAAACGAAGAUAUAUUUUUCAAUAAUUAACUUUCAAUACAAUUUUUUCCGAUUUUAGAUCUGUCAAGAUACAUAAUUAGCUCUUGAUAUAUCCAACAAAGAUAAAUAAUUAGUUGAAUUUUUUUAAUUACUUUAUAAGCAUGGAGAUUUGUGUAAAUAUGAUAAGUUAAGGUGUAUAUUUAUUUUAUUUUCGAUACAUAAUUAGAUCUCGAUAAUUUUUUUCGAUUUUGAGUCUGUUGAGAUACAUAAUACAUCAAACGAAGAUAUAUUUUUUCCUUUGUAAAGAUACAUAAUUAACUCCCAAUACAUUUUUUUCGAUUUUGGGUUUUCCAAGAUACAUAAUUAGCUCCCGAUACAUCUAACGAAGAUAUAUAAUUAGUUGGAAUUCUUAUAAUUACUUUGUAAGGAUGAAAAUUUGUGUAAAUAUGUUACGUUGAGGUGUAUAUUUAAGUUAUUUUUCCAACUAGUAAUCAUGAGUUUAGGGCCGGACUCAUCACCUCUCUUCACCAAUCACCAUUCGGCCCAGGCCCAUUAAGUAACCCGGCCCAGCCCCCAAAUUCUCUUCCUCUUAUCUAUUCUAUAUAUAAACCCUAUAAACCUCACCAAAAAAAAUCAAUUUCUUGGCUAUUAGGUUUUCGUCUCUCAGCUACAUACAGUUGAAUUGUCAAUGGAUUCUCAACCAGUUGAACCAGUCAGCUACAUCUGUGGAGGUACCUAUUCUAUUAAUUUUCCAUAUCAAACAGUUUGUAAUAAUUAAUUUUCCAUAUCAAACAAUUUGUAUUAAUUAGUUUUUCAUAUCAAACAAUUUGUAUUAAUUAAUUUUUCGUAUCAAACAAUUUGUAUUAAAUGGGAUCGAAUAUAUUUGUACAGAUUGUGGACAGGAGAAUACGCUAAAGCCAGGAGAUGUGAUACAGUGUCGUGAAUGUGGAUACCGUAUUCUCUACAAGAAGCGCACUCGCAGAAGUAUGUAUUUUUUUUUUUUUUUUUUUUUUUUGAGUUUUAUGUGUUAGUAUUCGCUAGAUUUUUCGGUAUUGAUGGAAGCUUUGGAAGGAUAGUAAGUUAGGAAAGAAAGCAAUUUUGUUGAUUUAGGGGUUUGGAUAAGCUUGUUUAGAUGUCUAUGUUAUAAGGGAAAGAACUUAAGUUUUAUGCGCUGUCAGUGUACCAAAAAAAUUGGUUAGCCUGCAAUAGUAGGUCAAGCAAAACUUAAAUUCGAAGGAAAAUCAGUUGAUUUUUGGGGUUGGAGAAGGUUGACCUUAGAUAGUUCUAUAAAAAUUGGAUAAUCUGCCAUAGUAGGUCAAGUUUACCUGAUAGUGUAGAAUAUAUAACCUGCAAUAGCAAGUCAAGUUUACGGGAUAGUAUAGAAUAUUUUGUACACUAACAAUGCCCAAAACUUAAAUUCUAAGGAAAAUCAGUUGAUUUUUUUAGGGUUGGAGAGGGUUGACUUUAGAUAGCUGCUAUGAAAAAUUGGAUAACCUGUAAUAGCAGGUAAUAGUGUAGAAUAUUUUGUACACUGACAGUGCACAAAACUUAAAUUCGAAGGAAAAUAAUGUCUGUUGAUUUUUUAGGGUUGGAGAAGAUUGACCUUAGAUAGCUGCUAUAGUUCAAUUGUAGGAAAGAAAACUCUUUUUGAGCAUCCAAGGGUGCAACCUCUAGUGGUCAAUGAAGUGUGUUGAAAAUCAUGAGGUUUUUGCUUUUCUUGUUACCCUUUUAAUAUUCAUGGAAGCUUUGAAGGAACAGUAAGUUAUGAGAAAAAAACAAUUUCUUUGAUCGAGGGGUUAGGUGAAGCUUGUUUGGACAGCAAAUUAUAGGAAGUUAGUUGAUUUGAGUUUCAAGCAAGUUGACCUAGAUACCUAUUGCUCGAUUGUAGGAAACAACCCCAAUUGAGCAACCAAGCACGCGAUGUAGUGGUCAAUAAAGUUAGACCUACAAUUGAACAAUAGAUGUCUAGGUCAACUUGCCCGAACCCUAGAAUCAACUUACCGGAGUUCGAGUUAGCUUGUUCUUACAUCACGUUAUAAGAAAAAACAAUUGAUUCUAGGGUUCUAGCAAGUUGACCCAGACAACUACAAUGAUCAUAGGAAACAACCCAUUUUAAGCACCCCAAGCGUGUGACCUAGUGGUCAAUAAAGUUUCAUUGAAAAUCAUAAGGUUUGAGGUUCAACUACCUAAAAGGAUUUUUUCCUACAAUUGGUCCAGGUCAACUUUCUCGAACCCUAGAAUCAAUCUUCCGGAGUUCGGGUUAAGCUUGUUAAGCUUGUUCUGACAUCACAUUAUAAGAAAAACACAGUUGAUUCUUCUAGGGUUCUAGCAAGUUGACCCAGACAGCUACAGUGACGGUUGGAAACAACUUAUUUUAAGCACCCCAAGCUUGUGUGACCUAGUGGUCAAUGAAGUGUUGAAAAUCAUGACCAUCUAUUCAGGCCUAGGUGAACAAGUGUUGAACCAGAGUAUCUGGUGCCUGGAGUGGUGGGAGGUAGAGGCAGUGUUGUGAAAAGCGAUGAAGCGAAGCGAAGCGACAGUGGGUCGCUUUUUACACUUGAAGUGUUGGGGCGAGAAAAAAGCUCUCGCUUUAGGUCCAGAAGCGAGAAGCUGAAGCAAAAAAAGCGCAGAAAAGGUCGCUUAAGUGGAUAUUUAAGUUUUUUUUUUGGGGUUUUAUUGCUUUAUUUAAUUUAUUUUACUUAAGGCCCUUAAGUGACUAUACGACUGCAUUGCUGCUGCUGCAACUUUUCUGGAACAACUGCGGAAGGUAUGCGACUUCUUCUUCUCUAUUUCUCCUCUUUUUCUUCUUCUUCUUCUCCUAUUAGGGUUUUCUAGUUACUUCUUCUCUAUUACUCUUUUUCAUAUCUGUUUUUUUUUUCUCUUCUUCUUCUCUAUUUCUCUUCUUCUUCUUUGUUUUCCAUUUCUGUUUUACUUUUUUUUUUUUGCUAUGUGUAAUCUGACUUCCAACUUUUUUUUUUCUUUUUACCCUUUUUUUUUGUUGUAUGUAAUCUGACUUCCAACUUUGUUUUUCUUCUUUUUACUUUUUUUUUGCGGUAUGUAAUCUGAAUUCUGUUUAUCAGUAUAUCCUUGUUGAGGAAUAGGAUGUAGAAUAGAAGUUCUAAACUUCUCUCUGAAUGUUGGUUUCUCUAUUUGUGUUGGUUGAUUAAGACGCAAGACUCAUUUUUAGUAUUUUAGUAGUUUGCUUGAAUGCUUGUUAUGACUAUCUAUUCUUUUUUUAAUUUGAGUAUUGAAAGAUUAUGUUAUUUAUUAAGCCCUUGGUUAUUUAUUUAUGCAUGUUUAAUAUUUUUAAAUUUUGUACUAAAUAGCGCUCUAAUGGAAAAAAGCGUGCGCUUCACUUCACGCUUCUCGCUUUUGUGAAGCGAACCCUCGUCGCUUUUUUUCGCCUCUCGCUUUUCAAAACACUGGGUAGAGGUAGUAUCUACUUGUGGAUUUUUCUGUAUUGAUGAAAGCUUUGGAAGGAUAGUAAGUUAUGAAAGAAAGCAAUUUUGUUGAUUUAAGGGUUUGGAUAAGCUUGUUUGGAUGUCUGUGUUAUAAGGAAAAGAAUUUAAGUUUUAUGCACUGUCAGUGUACAAAGUAAAUAUUCUACACUAUCAAGUAAAUUGAAAAAGAAAAUAUUGGGUAACCCGCAAUAACAGGUCAAGUUUAUUCGAUAGUGUAGAAUAUUUUUGUACAUUGGUAGUGCACAAAACUCAAAUUCUAAGGAAAAUCAGUUGAUUUUUUAGGGUUGGAGAAGGUUGACCUUAGAUAGCUGUAUAAUUCGAUUGUAGGGAAGAAAACUCGUUUUGAGCAUCCAAGGGCGCAACCUCAAGUGGUCAAUAGAGUGUGUUGAAAAUCAUGAGGUCUUUUCUUUGCUUGUUACCCUUUUAAUAUUCAUGGAAGCUUUGGAGGAAUACUAAGUUUUGAAAAACAAAACAAUUUAUUUGAUUGAGGGGUUAGAUAAAGCUUGUUUGGACAUCAGGUUAUAGGAAAUCAGUUGAUUCGAGGUUCAAGCAAGUUGACCUAGAUAGCUAUUGCUCGAUUGUAGUAAAGAAAAACCUUUUGAGCAACCAAGCUUGCGACCUUGUGGUCAACAAUAGAUGUCUAGGUCAACUUGCCCGAGCCCUAGAAUCAACCUAUCGGAGUUCGGUUUUGCUUGUUCUGACAUCACAUUAUAAGAAUAAACAGUUGAUUCUAGGGUUCUAGCAAGUUGACCCGGACAGCUACAGUAACGGUAGGAAACAACUUAUUUUAAGCACCCAAGCGUGUGCAACCUAGUGGUCAAUGAAGUGUGUUGAAAAUCAUGACAAACUAUUCCGGCCUAGGUGAACAAGAGUUAUCUGGUGCCUGUAGUGGUGGGAGGUAGAGGUAGUGGUAGUAUGUACCCUGUGGAAUUAAUCAAGGUCUAGCUGGCCCGGACAUGGUUAUAAAAAAAGAGACUUUUGACAUACUAAGGAAGUACCCUUUUUAAUGUUAUAGUGGUAAGUUCCAAAGGAGAUUUUAGAUUAGUAGCUUUUAAGGCUUUUGGUUCUUUUUGUUCUAACUUUGGUUUGGUUAUUCAAUGGAGAGCAAAACAAGUGUUGGAGCAAAUUGUUUGAUCUUAGAAAGAUGGAAUGUUCAGAUGUUGUUGUAAUUUUGAUAUAGUGAAAUUUCAAGUGCUAUUAUCUUUUCAAUUAGCCUAUUCGGCCGGUUGGGGAUGGAAUUGAUGUGCUUCUAUUGAGUUGUAGAAAUUGCAUUUAAAUGUGGUUAUGCUGUUAAAGAGAAAUCUGAGAAGAAGGCUCAAGUAGAACAUAGAACAGUCUUAGAAUUGUGAUGAUGAGAUGCUAACAUGUAAGAAGAUAGAACAGUCUUAGCCGCCUCCACAGAAAACCUAUCUCUCUUCUUCCGAUCUCCAAUGGAGUCUGAAUAAUUUUCCCAUUUAUACACUUAUUUUUCGCUUUUCGUUUCAUUUUGGUUAAAGCAAACUGUAGCUCUCUUCACAUAGCCUCCCGGGCUCAUCUGAACUUUUUCACAUGAAGUUAGCAGCCCCAAAGCUCGUGCUAUAUGUUUCGCCACGAAGUGUUGCAGCAUUUUGUACCUUCUAUCCAUGGCUUAUCUUUGUCAAAUCCAUGGCUAGACCCCCCUUACACUAGAAUUUUUGUACUUGAUUAAAAACACAGUCUUAAGAGUUAUGUUGGUGAUAAUUAGUAUGGUUUUUAAAUCUAUUUUUACUAUUGUGCAACUUCUCAAAAAAAUAAUCUAUUACUAUUGUGUUCAUUAGGUAAUGCUUGCUAAAUUCUGAAGACAACCAUGGAACUUGUCAGCAAUUAAAUAGUAGUAGUAUUUUAAGUAUUGGCUCAUUUAGUGAACUUAAUAUAUCACUGUCUUUUAGUGUUGCAGUUCGUCUUGAUUCACUGAUUGACUAGUUGUGAUUGUCCGUCAACUUAAAGGGAAGAAAUUGAGAGUGGCAAAAAAAUAUUUUUUGGAUUAAAGUUUAUCUGCAGGAUUGUAUUCAACUGUACUGUCAUGUCGUGCACGUAUAAUCUUCUUGGUGAAUUAGCGUUUGCCUUUUGGUUAUUUAAGUAAAUCUCCAGCUGAAUCUGAUAUAAAAGAUAUGCUUCGGUUGUUUAAGCUGUGUGUUGUGUUUGGCUGCCAUUCUUAAUGGUCCAUAAGCUGUCAGCAACACAGUCUUGUUAGAUUCUGUUCAAGUUAGAGGAUGUGGCAUACUCUUUUAGCAUUAGAUUCGACCUUAAUGUAAACAUAUAUGUGCUUUAAAAUUGUUCAAGUAAGCCUACAUACGCUACUGAUGCGCUAGGUCCGCCACUGGAUUGUUAAUCAUUUUUUUGAUGGAUAACAACUUUGAUAGGCUAGAAGAUCCCAAGUUUGUAAUCCUAAGAUGAUUUAGUAAUGCAUAUAGCUGUGUUUCUUCGUUGUAAAUCUAGAGAUUCUAAAGCUAAAUAAACCAUUCCCCUCUGCAAGGUAUAUACAAGAAUCUUAGUAGUAGUUUUACAACAAAUCAGAAUGUAAACACUAUCUCGAAGCACGUCUUACUUUGUUGCCAUUAGGAAUCUGAACCAACCUUACAAUAUUUUACUUUCUGCGCUUUUUCAAUCUUGUUCGUUUCUACUACAAGUACGCUAACCUGCAUUGUUUUGGUGCAGUCGUGCAGUAUGAAGCUCGGUGAUGCUUGAAGCCAUUUGGAAAAACAGCAUGUGCUUGCUCGUAUGGAAGUAGAUGUUAAAAAACGUAAUAGCUACUGUUAAAAAUCACGCGUCUCAGCGUGGCUAUUGUGUGUUUUUACCUUUUUACGUCUGAUUGCAUCGUGGGUGCAUGUUGUUAGUCUAAUUUGGCAAAUUCAACACAAACUCAGCGUGGUUGAAUAUUGUAGAAAUGGUUUAAAAGACAAUGUCUUGUUGUGGUCUCUUGUGGAAAAUCUGUUAAGAUCUUCAUGAGUUGUGUUUUACUUUCUUGAUUAUUGUCAAUUUUUCCAUUUUUUGUAGGGAAAAAGAUUCGAAAUAUACCUUUUAACUUUGGCGAAAUUUGCUGCAACACGCCUCAACUUUGCGAGGGUCCUAUGAUUCUCGUCGACUAUUUAUUACUGUAUUUUUGUGGCAUAUAUUUGUCCAACUAGAUCACUACGUGAAUACACGUGCACUGAGCGCGUAAGAGUCUUAAGAGUCUGAAGUGGUUCAACUGGAUAAAUAUAUAUUACAGAAAUACGGUAAUAAAUAGUCGAGAGGGUCAUAGGACCCCCGCAAAGUUAAUGUGUUACAACAAAUUUUGCCGUUUAGGUAUAUAGCUGACUGUUUUUCCUUUUUUUUAAAUUCCACUAAUAGGUGUUUGGAUUGUUAUAAGUUGAGUCUGGAGCCUAAAGGGCAACCGUCAUUCGUGAUGUCCGAUCCACUGACCUAUCCGGAAAAACCUCCAAAAGAACCAUUUGUUUCACUCCAAGUAGGAGGGUAGAACUUACGCAGGUCGUACCACUACCUCAGGCGCUGUUUUUAAUAGACCCUCAGCUCGAACUAGUCAAACGCCAUCACAUAAAUGAAAUUGAGAAAGUAAUAGUUAUUACAUUCUGCAAAAACCUCCAAAAGAACCACUUGUUUCACUCUAGGUAGGAGGGUAGAAUGUACGCAGGUCGUACCACUACCUUAUAGGCUGUUUUUGAUAGGCCCUCAGCUCGAACUAGUCAAACACCAUCACUUAAAUGAAAUUGAGAAAGCAAUAGUUAUUACAUUCUUGAAGUGUACAUAGGCUAGAAGUUAGCUAUCUCUAUACCUCCUUUGUUAUUGUAAUGUCCAAUUGGUGCUUCAUAUUUGCUAAAAAGUCUGUAAGAUGAAAGCAAUGAAAUCCCAACAUAGCAAAGGCUAACAAUGAAUGUAAUGGACACAGAUGAAGUUGCCUUUUUGCAAAAACCAUCAAAUGAACCACAUGUUUCACUCCAUGUAACAGCAGUAUCCCCUUUGUAUGCUAAGUAUAACACCUCUGUUGAUGCAGCUCCAGCAGCCAAUAUUAUGUAUGUCAACACCUAUAAGCAAAAUUUUAGCAUUUGAGAAAAAGAAUUUGAACUUUUAUACUAUGGCAUAAUACAUAAACAUAACUCUCAAACUUGGCGUCAGCUGACAAGUAAGCACUCUGACUCUGAGAGUUGCAUGUCUGGACACACUGACCCGAGUACGCUCCAAUUUCAACCCUGAUGUUGUGAGUUCGAGUCACCAAGAGAGGGAAAAAAGGUGGGAGCUCCUCGGAGGGGUUUAAGAAAAACUGGCAACUAAACAUGCCAGCUUGUUCACAUGUGGACACCCGACGCUGCCGUGACACAUAAAAUUUGAAGGUGUCUAGAUGAUCAUUUCGUAAGCUGGAGUGUUCAACCGACACACUGAAAGCAAGUUGAGGUGCAUGUCUAGAUGAUCUAUACACCUCAAGUUGGUCUCAACGGGCAAAGACCGGAGCUUGCUCGGACGGCAAGCACCCUCUACUUCCAAACCCUGAUAUCGUGAGUUCGAGUCACCAAGGGAUCGAAAAAAGGCAGGAGCUCCUAGGAGGUGUUCAAAGAAAAACUGACAACUAAAAACGCCAGCUCGUUCGCACGUGGAUGCCCAAUGCUGACAUGACACAAAAAUUUUGAAGGUGCCUAGAUGAUCAUUUCGUAAGCUCGAGUGUUCAACCGACACAAUGAAAACAAAUUGACGUGUCUAGAUGUGUAUACAAACCUAUUCAUAUUUACUUUUUUCUAGCCAAUAUACCUAGAUUAUACAUUGAUUAUCCAUCCUAAACUUGGACUAAGAUCAAAGAUGUAGAAUAUAUUGGAAAAUAACCUGAUCAAUUAGGAAGAAUGUCCAUGCUUUAGGCAAUGUUGUAGGACGAGGAAGAGCUGCAACUAUAGCUGAUAGAAGUGAAUAAGCUGCACAUAUUCCAUUUGCAUGUACUAAGUACCUACACCACAUUCAAUAUUUCACCUUUUAUAAUAGGUUAAAUAUAGCGAUUUCGAAAACGCAAGGUAAGACUGCAUACGAUACACCCUUGCGACGGGGCCCUUCUCUAGACCCUGCGCAUACAGUGGCGGAGCCAGGAUUGACACCAAGGGAUUCACAAGUGAAUAUAAGAACUAACCAAAGGGGGUUCGACAUUUACUAUAUAUACAUAAAAAAUAAUUUUAACCACGUAUAUAUAGUAUAAUUUUCCAUCGAAGGGGGUUCGGAUGAACCCCUACCUUAUAUGUAGCUCCGCCCCUGUGCACAUAGCAGGAGUUUUAGUGCAUCGAGCUGCUCUUUGUAGCGAUCUCAAAAAUUUUGUUAAGUUUGAAGGUGUUAAAGUAUGAUAACGAAUAUAUAGAAUAUCAUUUUGCAUGCCAAAAUUUUCGAAAGACUAGUACAAGGUAUGUUUUAAUAUAAAGAGAUAGGCUUCCAGUUCUCCCGAACUAUGGCCAAAGUUACUACGACACACUCCAACUUCACAUGGGUUCUAUUAUCCUCCUGAACGCAAUUUUAGCGUAUUUUUGUUACCUUUUUGUGCUGACGUGACACCUUUAUUACAUAAAAUGGUACCCAUGUCAAAGGUGUCAUGUCAGCUAUAAAGGAUGACAAAAAUACGCUAAAAUUUAGCUCAGAAGGGUAAUAGGACCCCGUGAAGUUGAAGUAUGUCGUAGCAAAUUUGAUCAUAGUUUAGGGGUACUAGAUGUUUUACUCUAAUAUAAAUGAAGUGAGAGUUUAGACAGGUAAAGAUCAGAAUAAUGAAUAGUUGGAAUAUGAAACUGACGAAAAUUGAUAAUUUACAUAUAUUUUCGACUAUUAACUCAAUACACUUUAUAUCGUCAGUGCAUAAAACUUCAACUGAUUGACAAAUAUAGUUACCUAAAAGUCCCAAGAUCAGAGUAAGAAAGUGAACCAAAAUCAUUGGUUUGAGAAUCCUUAAGCAUGAUGACAAGUGCCACUACACAUAGAGCCAUAGGCAACAAUCUCAACAUCAUCUCAACCAUAUUGCUUCCAAAACUUUCAUUCUCCACAACAUUUUUUUGUGUCAAAUCACCCAUAAUCAUUGGAAUUUUUUUUUCUUUCACUUUUUUCAAACACAAUUGGACUAAAAUAUUAUGAAUUGAAGUGAGAAUGGAGAUUGUAAGAGAUGGCUACUACUUAUUUAUGAGUUUUAGAUGAGAGGUUGGGUGGAUUGGCUAUUUAAUGCACUUAAAAACUUUCCACACAUUUCUAUGCAAAACAUAUUAAAGCACCUUGAUUUGAUAACUAUGCAUUAUGGAGAACAUAUAUAGAAAAAAUAAUAAUUCUUUUCAUACUUGCAACAUGAGCUAGUUUGCAUUUAUAUCACCUAAUGAUAUGAUUGAUGGAUGCAUUAUGGAGAACAUGUAUAGAAAUUUUCCUCUUUUUUUAUAUACUCGUGCUAUUUGAAUCAGCUUGCACGUAGGUUAAGUAAUUUCUUGAAAUAUCUGUUCCUUUCUAUCAAAUAUAGAUAUUGGAUAACUCUGUCCAUCAAAGUUUGAAUUUAUGAAAAGAAAUGACAGAGUUUUUGAUUCUCCGCUGAAAUUUAAACCAACAUUUUAUUGAUCUAACUGUGGUAUUUGAAUCAACUUGCAUGUAGGUCUAAGUAAUUUCUUGAAAUAUUUGUACCUUUCAUCUGUAUAGAUAUUGGAUAGCUCUGUCCGUCGAAGUUUGAAUUCAUGAAAAGAAAUUACAUAGUUUUUGAUUCUGCGCUGAAAUAUAAACCUGCAUUUUCGUGAUUCUCAAUCCAUUUUAUUGAUCUAAGUGUGGUAUUUGAAUCAAUUUGCACGUACGUAGAGUAAUUUCUUGAAAUAUCUGUCACCUUUUAUCAAAUAUAUAUAUCGGAUAGCUCUUUCCAUCAAAGUUUGAAUUCAUGAAAAGAAAUUACAUAGUUUUUGAUUUUGCGCUGAAAUAUAAACCUGCAUUUUUGUGAUUCUCAAUCCAUUUUAUUAAUCUAACUGUGGUAUUUGAAUCAGCUUGCGCGUAGGUCAAGUAAUUUCUUGAAAUAUCUGUUACCUUUUAUCAAUACAGAUAUCGAAUAACUUUUCCAUCGAAGUUUGAAUUCAAAUAAGGAAAUUACACAAUUUUUGAUUCUCCGAUGAAAUUUAAACCUGCAUUUUAGUGAUUCUCAAUCCAUUUUAUUGAUCUAAGUGUGGUAUUUGAAUCAGCUUGCACGUAGGUCAAGUAAUUUCUUGAAAUAUUUGUACCUUUUACAUCAAAUAUAGAUAUCGAAUAACUCCGUCCAUCAAAGUUUGAAUUUAUGAAAAGAAAUUCCACAGUUUUUUAUCCUCCGCUGAAAUUUAAACCUGCAUUUUAAUGUUUCUCAAUACAUUUUAUUGAUCUUUCUGUGGUAUUUGAAUCAACUUGCAAGUAGGUCAAGCAAUUUCUUGAAAUGUCUGUUACCUUUUAUCAAUAUAGAUAUCGGAUAACUCUGUUCAUCGAAGUUUGAAUUUACGAAAAGAAAUUACACAAUUUUCUUUUCUCCGUUGAAAUUUAAACCUGUGUUUUGAUGAUUCUCAAUUCAUUUUAUUGAUUCCCAACUCCGGCCUUAUAGAUAAAACUAGUUAUGCCUAGAACUUAUGCCCAAUAAGCAACACAAUUUUUUGGAAAAAUAGAAUAUACGCAGAUUUUACCCUUACAUAAAGGUUAAGAAAUAUUACUUUUGAUAGACCCUUUGACAAAAACAUAGAAGUAAAGGACCACUUAUAAUACAUAAACAAAGAAAAGUGGAUUCUUCUUUUUUUUUUCUUUAUUACUAAGGGGUCGUUUGGUUUGAAGAUAAGUUGUGUCAGAAUUAGUUAUACUUGGAUUAGUUAUGUUGAAAUUAGUUGUCUUGGAAUUAGUUAUCCUGGUAUUAUUUUUUAGUGGUUGUUUGGUUUGCGGUGCUAAAAAUAUUUGUCUUGCAUUCUUUGUAAGAAUAUAUUAUUUGUUUACAAAAAUACCUUUCACCUUAUAUACGUGAAAAGUGAUAAUCAAAGCAUUUGGAGGAUACUUUUGUUAUUUUAUGGCUUUAUCCCAAGAUAAAUUAUCUUGAAAUUAUUAUACCACCAAAAGGAUGGGAUAACUUAUCCCGAUACUAUUUGUUAAUUCCGGAAUAAGUUAUCCCAAACUUAGCAACCAAACAAGACAUUAAAAUUUUUGUCCUUAGACUAUUUUUUAUUCUGAAACUAUUUGUUUUAAUACUUUACACCAAACGACCCCGAAUAUUAUUAUUAUUAGAGUAAAUGUUCUGUUUUUACCUUAAACUAUACACGAAAUUGCUGAGACACACUCGAACUUUAAGAGGGUCUUAUUAUCUCUUGGACUAAUUAAAAUCGUAUUUUUGGCAACUUUAGUGUCUACGUGGCACAUACGUGGCACAUCGGUGAUUCAACACACUGAAGGUCCACGUAGGCACUAAGAUUGCCAAAAAUACGAUUUUAGUUAGUCCAGGGGUAAUAGGGUUUUUCUAAAGUUUGGGUAUAUCUCAGCAAUUUCGUGUAGAAUUUAGAGUGGUAAAAGAACAUUUUCUUUUAUUAUUAUUAUUAUUGGAAAAAGGUCUUUCUAUCAAUGAGUAGCUACUAGCCACAAAUUCCCUCUUCAAGAAAAAAAAAAGAAAAAAGAAAGGAUAACAACAACUCCAAAAAAGAAGAAGAAAAUGGCACUACAACUUCAACAUUUAUCAUCAUCAACAGCACCUAAAUUCACCACAUCUACUUCUCUAUUUCUACCAAAUUUCCAAAAUGUAUGUGUCUCAAAAUUAAAAAAUAUUAGAACCAUAACAAGUGUAAAAAAGAAUCAAAUAUUAUCAUCAUCAUCAAGAAUUAGAAAAAGAAGAGGUAUAUUUUUGUUUAGAAUAUCAGCUUCACUUUCACCUCUUGAUUUGACUGAAGAUAACAUUAUCCAAGUCCUAGAAGAUGCAAAGACUGAGGUAUAUUAUAAUUCUUCGUUUUAAUUUAUUUGUCUUACUUCUUUUUAGUUCGUUUAAUAAAGAAUGUUUGUUUAGUUUAGGGAAAAUGCUCUGUUUCAUCCUGAAUUAUACACAAAAUUGUUUAGACACAUUCGAACUUUAAGAGGGUCCUAUUACCCUGGACUAAUUAAAGUCGUAUUUUUGACAACCUAGUACUUACGUGGACCUUCAGUGUAUUGAUUCACGUAUAUGCCAUGUAGGCACUAAGGUUACCAAAAAUACGAUUUCACUUAGUUCAGGGUAAUAGAACCCUUCUAAAGUUUGGGUGUAUCUCAGCAAUUUCGUAUGUAGUUUAAAGUGGAAACAGUGAAUUUUCUCUUUAGUUUUUUCAACUCUUUACUUUUAAUUGUUCACGUGAAAUAUUUAAGACGAUAAGAUUAAACGACAUUUUGAUAUAUUUUAUAUUUAUGGUGUAUAGUCAUAAUUCGAUAAGUACUCGUUCAUUCUUAACUAGGAUUCUCAGGUUCGAGUGUUGCAAGUACUUCUAGUCGCUUUUUUUAGCAAGCACUUUACUCCAAUGUGAGAUUUUUCGCCGCGAAUUCGGAUUUGGUCGGACUCCAAUGUGGUAGCGAACACAGUGAGAAAUUAAGUACUCCAUCCUUAACUUAAUCAAGAAUCUCGACUUUGAGUUUACUGAAUAUGGCGUCAUCUGUGUUAGGGGUGUUUUAUCGAGUCCUGCAAGUACUUUCAGUCGCGUUUGUUAGCAAGUGCUUUACUCCAAUGUGAGAUUUUUCGCUGCGAAUUCAGAUUUGGUUGGACCCUAAUAUGGUAGUGAAUACAGUGAGAAAUUUACUCCUUCAUUCUUAACCAACGAUCUCGACUUUAAGUAUACUGAAUAUGGAGUCAUCUUUGUUAGAGGCAUUUUAUUGAGUCUUGCAUUUCCAGUCGUGUUUGUUAGCAAGCGCUUUACUCCAAUGUGAGGUUUUUCGCUGAAAAUUCGAAUUUGAUCGGAUCUCAAUAUGAUUGCGAACAUAGUGAGAAAUUAAGUACUCCUUCAUUCUUAACUAAAGAUCUCGACUUUAAGUUUACUGAAUAUGGAGUCAUGUUUGUUAGGAGCGUUUUAUCCUCAAUGUGGGUAAUUGGUCGGUAUCGGAACCCAAUGGGAAACCCAAAAAGAAAAGUUAUGAAUUCAUCCGAACCUAGUAACUUUGACUCAGACUCUGUAUAUGUUUAAAAAAUCCAAUAUAGGACUACCAAUGGUAUAUUUCCAACCCAGUAAAACUCAAUUAAGUUGUGCGGUAGACUUUCAAACUCGAACUCAUAAAGCUCAAAUCUUGAAUUCGUGUUGCUCUUAUCACCUAAGUUGCUCGGACUCUUCAAAAAUGUCUUCAGAUGCUUGUCGGAUCCUUCAAAAAUAGUGUAUUUUUGAAAGAUCCGACAACAUUUUUGGAGAGUCGGAGCAACUUAGCUUUCCACUAGACCAAUUCUAGUUUUUAUCAAUCUUCUAAUAUGUUUGUUUUAUUGGUUGGAUUCUGCAGUUGGCACAACUUUUUGAUACUUCAGUUGGGAUAACAGGUAAUUUCUCAUCUAAGUUCUUUUUUUUUUUCCUUUUUUGUAUUAAGAGAUUAGCAUUCAGUGCCCGGGGCAAAGUUGCUAAGACACACUUCAACUUCACAUGGGUCCUAUUACCUUCCUGAACUCAAUUUUAGCAUAUAUUUUGUCUCUCUUUUGUGCUGACGUGACACCUUUAUUACAUAAAAUGGAGCCCAUGUCAAAGGUUCUACGCCAGCUAAAAUGGUUGACAAACGGUGUCACGUCAACUAAAAAGAAUGACAAAUAUAUGCUAAAAUUUAAUUCAGGAGGGUAAUAGGAAACCCCGUGAAGUUGGAGCGUGUCAUAGCAAAUUUGGUCAUAGUUCAGGAGGCACUAGAUGCUUUGCUUACUCUUGUAUUAACAUCAACAAUAACAUACCCAGUGUAAUUACACAUGAGGGGUCUGGAGGGGAUAAGAUAUACACAAACCUUAUCCCUACCUUGGGGGUAGAUAGGUAGUUUCCGAUAGACCUUCGACUUAACAAGAGGAAAUAAUUUUUUUUACAGGGAAAGCAGAACUUGCAGAAGUGGAUGGACCUUAUGUGAAACUUAGACUAAGUGGAAAGUUUUGGCAUAAAAGGUCUACUGUUGUAGCAAGACUUGGUAAUUACUUGAAGCAAAGAAUCCCAGUAAGUAUAUCUAAAAUUUAGUGCUAAUUUUCAUUUGUCAAAGUGAGAAAAACAUUGUCUUGGAAACAGUCUCUGGUAGAAAUGCAAGGUAAGGCUGCGUUCGAUACACCCUUGUGGUGGGGUCCUUCCACGGACACCGCGCAUAGCGGUAGCUUUAGUGCACCGGGCUGCCCUUUUAAAGUGAGAAAAACAUUUUGAGUAGUAACAUAAUUUUCUUUGUGACUUCGUUCUUUUUAGGAAAUCUUGGAGGUAGAUAUUGAAGAUGAGAAACAAUUAGAUGAUAGCCCUGCAAACUUUUGAGAUUCGGAGCCGGUAGGAGUUGAAGAGAGGCCUUUCCGUUCGGUUCAAAUUCAGAUGGUCAAGUCCGCGCUCGUAUGGAAUGGUCCAAAGAAGCGCACCAACCUGCCAAGGGACAAUGAGACGAGGCACUCGUUUUGUAGGAUCAUGCAGUAGGAACCAAAAUGGACUAACAGUUGAGAACAAUUUGUCUUGAAAGCAGACAUUUAUUUCUUGAUGGUGUUUAUAAAAUUCUAAUGUUAUCUAAAACAACAGAGAACGUACCCAGUGUAGUCCGAUAAGUGGGGUCUGGGGAGGGUACAGUGUACGACUUAUGUAUUUCUCACGUGGCAUUAUUCAGCAACUAGAACAAGACUAUGAUCCAGUCCUGCAACAGCUUGAAUGACUUCAGUGCCUUCUAAAUAUUCAACCAACAUCGGCUCCGCUUCAUCAGCUGAGCUGCCUAAUCCAAGCCUCCCGUUCCUCCCGGAGCCCCAAGACCAAACCUCUUUCUUUGCUGUGAGAGCAAGGGAAUGUGCCCGUCCUGCCGAUACAGAAACAGGUGUCUUGUCAGCCAGCCCUUCAACAACGUUAGGAAUGUUGUCUGGACCUUCCCUUCCAAGUUGAGAACUUUGGUUCCAUCCCCAUGAUACGACACUUGUUGCAUCUCCGGUUGGUUCUGAUGAGGGAUCGUUGCAAACUGCUAAAGAAUGACCUAAACCCGAAGCUAUAGAGAGAGGAUGGAGCUCUAUGUCAACGGGUUGCAUUCCCAAGUCUUUGUUCGCUCUUCCUAACUGGCCAUACACAUUGCUUCCGCCACUAAACAGUGUUCCAUCACCUAAAAUAAGAAGAUAGAAACGACCAUCAACGUGCAUUCAUGCACAUUACAAGUACUUACACAUUAGUAAAUGUGACUUACGGCAAAGGACAAGAGAGUGAUCAAGUCCGCAAGCUACAUCUGCAACUUUUAACUCGUCUAACUCCUCGAUUGACCCGGGCUCCCAUAUUAUAGGCAUAUCCUUUUCCUUCUCGAUAGCUUCCAUGACAGACUUCUCAGCAGCUUCAAUUGCUGAAAAUUCUUCUCUUGAUCUUAGUUUAGUACUAUUUGAUUCCAGUGGAGAUAUCUCUAACUCUCUUCCUAUCUUGCCGAUUCUACCAUCUGCAUAGUAUCCCCAGCCAAACAAACUCCCAUUCUUACCUAGCGCAAGAGCAUGUCCCCAACCUAAUGAGACCUGCCAUUUGCCAACACCAAAUGAAUUGACAACUAAACUCAGAAAAAAAAUAAAAAAUCUAAACAGUUCGACACUAUUCACAUUGUAGCACAUCAUAUCAUUAUGUGUUCUCGGCUAAAUUUCUUCUACCUAUUUCUCUGACAAGUAAAACUUAUUCUACCUUAAGCAUCACUGGAUAACCACCUUAACAAUCUCUUCUCCAGGAAGUGUUUCAAUUUUGGAAGGUAAUGCAGCGUGGGUGAUUCCUUUGCCAAGACCAAGUUGUCCACGCUUAGAACUUCCCCAAACCCACAGAGAUCCAUCAUCUCCUACGGCGGCAGAAAUGACACCUGAUGCAAAUGCGGCUUGAACUCUCACUUUAUUUAGUCCUUCUACUCUUUUUGGUUCAUUCCAUGCUUCUCUGAACAAGCUCGACAAAAAGGAUUUCCAUGUUAGUAAUACAAACACUAUAACCCCCACCCACCUCUAAGUAACAGAAGAAAAACAAGACGGUGAAAACAGGAAGGAGGAGGAAACACUUGAAAUUCAUUGGAAAACAGAAGUAUGCAAUAAAAGAAAAGGCCACUUCAUCUGGAUACCCAGCAUAUGAGAAGAAAUGUUAGUUUCCUACCAUAACAGAGUCGACAACUAAUUCUAGGACCUUUCUAAUUCACUGAUACGAAAAGAGCCUAGACGAACAAAUAAAGAAAAGCCAGGAUGUCACAAUAACUCUACAACAACAACAAAAACAACAUACCCAAUAUAUUCCCACCAAGUGGGGUCUGGUGAGGGUAAGUGUACGCAGUCCAUACCACUACCUAAGAGGUGAGAUAGAGAGGUUGUUUCCGAUAGACCCCAGGCUCAAGAUAAAGCAAUCUAGAAAAAGGAAUAGUAAAAGGACAAGAUACAAUAGACAUUAUCACAACCAAUAAUACCAUAAACAAGACUCACCCAAGUAAUAAAACAAACGAUACAACAUUCGGAAAUAAUACUAGCACUAUAGCUAAUUAACAUGGAUAACAAAAUCCUCCUACCUACUAGCACUGAUACACUCGUCCCUACUAUCUUUCUACCUUAAUCCGCCUCCCCCAAUAACUCUAGCAUAACUAAAUCGAAAAGAACUGCGAAUGAUAUUGAGAAAAAUAGCUCUUUUUCGCAGAAAUGGUAUCUGUCGGCACUAUCAUGGCAACAUGCUUACAGUUACUGUGAACCGAAGGAACUAUGCAAAGGUCUGGUUGCCCAACCAACUUAUUAACUGCUGAUACAAUGUUCUGUUUCCAGAGUUCGGAGGAACUCGAUGGUUUCCAUAUAUCACAUUGUCGGAAUCAUCCUUUGGCAAGAUUAAGCUUUUCUUGGAAGCACCAAAUCACGUGGUUCUCUGAAGUAUCUAACGACGCUACUCUUUCAGAUCAUUCAUCUUCAUAAUCAGGUCUCCCUUACUCCAAUUAACCAAACAUUAUCGAAUAUCCAUUUUUUAUAGCAUAACUUAAAUUUUGCUAUAAAAUUAUCAGAAAUAUUAGCCAUGUUUUUUAUUCUCUUUUCUAAUUUUUGAGUUGGUUAAGUAAUCAUGUAGUAAUAAGUUAGAGGAAUUAAAAGAAUAUCUUGAAUUUAUGGAGGUUAGGUUUUGCUAGGAAAAUCAGGACUGGAAAAAGAUCAAGUAGUUACUAUUUUGACAAGAGCUAUAUCCAUUAUCCAACAUAUGAUUUAGCAAGUAGCUCCUAUUUGGCCGUAGAUUUUGAAGUUGAAACUUGUAAAUUUGAAUUUUUGAACUUGUGUUUGGACAUGCAUUUUACUUUGAAAAAAUUGAGGUCAAGUGACAUUUCCUCCGGACUUGACAAUAUUUUGAAGAUAAAUUUUCAAAAUUUAAGAAGCAUAUAUAUAUAUAUAAUAAAAACGACGUUAAAAACAGUGAAUAAUGAUUGAUUUUUUAGUAUAGCAGUUUGUAAAACCUACUCAGUACUCCCUCUUUCCUAUUGUUUCUUCAUGUUUAUCAUUCUUCAUUUUCCCCAGACUCUUUUUUUUUUUUACCCUGUUCAUCUCUUCCUCUAUAUUCUUAACAUCGUACUUCUUUAACCACACCCCGGAAGAUUUUUGUCUGGCAGCUAACACUCGUCCUUUGUCUAAAUUGCAGACCUAUUGGACUAUCAAGGCCAGAAUUCCUAGGAAUUUACAGGUUAAUCCAUCGUUGGUAUUAAGAAAUUAAGAGGCUAACCAUAUACUAAGGGUAAAAUUUUAUAGAUAAUUUAAUUUACAUGAUUUACAAAAAAUAUGUAAAAUAACGUUGAACAUGGAUAUAAGAACAUAAAUAUUUUUGUGGGGAAAAUAUGUAAAUAAGAACUUACAUGAAGUAACUAGGAAAGAGGUUUCCCUUUCGGGAACCCCCUUAAGAUUUGAAUAGAAACCUUGAAGCCUUUAUUUAAAUCACAAUGAUACAAAGUUUAUACAAGAAAGACUGGCUUGGAUAAGUUUUUUGGGAGGAAGGGUUUAAACAUUUCAAGGUUUUGAAGUUGGUUAAUUCCACUCUGCCUUCUUUCGACCAAAUGUGCGCCUUUUAUAGGCGAGAUGUACAUAAAGGAGAGGUUCUAAGAGCUACUACGUGGCCUCAACACAGUUGGCCGACACUUUUUGAUAAGAGAUAAGAAAGAAAACUUUAAUAAUGCAAGUCGGGUACUCUUUGGGCCCCAUCGUCACAUGCGUUAUUAAUUUUCUUUCAAACUUAUUUUGACGCGUGCUUCAACAGUUUUUCUUUUGGAAAGUAGUGAUAAAGGAAGCACUCUGACUCUGACUAUUACAAGUAGGCAUCCCCACUUGACUAUGCUAGCUAAUAAUACAAAUUGUAGAUUAUCUUUAUGUAUCCAAGUAGUGCAGGGCAAUGGAGUCGAAACUCAUGCCUGAGUCGUCGUCUUCAUAUGGAUCCUGGAAUUGUGCAAUACUAUCUUCUUCGUCCGAUCUUGCUGAAUUAUUUAUCUUUGGCACAACUCUGUCUAGCUGUUCGUCUGGUUGUCCAUUCAUGUAUUUAUCUUGUGUCUGGUUGCUGAAGAAUCUGUCUAGCGUCUGUUUAAUUAUUGUCUCUAUUGUUUCGUUUUUUCUCUUAGAUAUUAAAGUCUUCUUUAAAGAUCUUGUUCAAGAUCUUGUUAAUUUAGCUUUUGAUGAAGAACACCCUUCAUCCUCACUUUUUGGCAAAGUGACAGCCAUUAACGGAUUUGAUUUGUCUUUACCGAUCACCGUUUGAACCGGACUAGCUGUACCAACAUCCGGUACAGUGGAUUUCUGAGCAUUUAGUUGGAAAUGCACACCCUUCUCAUCUAUUUUUUGAGGAAAUGGAGAACUCUGAGCUGGAGUUUGAGUUUGUGCAUCUGUUUUGCUAGCUGGAUUCUGCGGGCUGAGUCUUGUUUCUAACAUUUGUAUUUGUUUGAUCAAUCUAGUGUUUUCCAUGAGGAGUGAUUCUUUUUGGGCAUUUAGCUUCUUGAAGUUCUCCGUCAUUGAAGAACAAUGGUUGCAAAAAAUAAUCUUUCCAGUCUCUUUUUGCAAAUUAUACUGGGGUAUUUGGUCUGAAUUUUGUCUAAGGGAAGGAGAUAUAUAAUAGUUUGGCCCUAAAUAUCCUCUAGCAUGAUUGGUGGCUUCGGUAAAAUCAUUAAAACCUUUAAAAAGAUCUUAUGAACCAGAUAUUUCAUCAAUUCUUAGAUUUGUUUAUGAUUGUUUUUAUAGAAGGUAUGCAAUUAAAUUAAAUGGUCCGAAAUGAAUUCUUUCCAUUGUCUCUAGGGAUUCUAGUGGUCUAAAACUUAAGUUACCUAACAUUGUCUGUUGGUAAAACUCUGAAGACGAAGCUACACCUUUGCCUUUGUCUGCAGAAGGUGUAGCUUGUUACCAGAACAGAUGCUUACAAACUACCAGAUAAAAGUGAGUUAAUUAAUAGAAUUCAAAAUACUUACAGGCUAUGGCAAGUCAAAAUGCACCCAGAUAGCAUAGAAUGGACAGCAUUCACAUGUCCAGGCGGACAUUUUGAAUGGUUAGUUAUGUCGUUUGGAUUAAAGAAGGCCCCGCCCAUUUUUCAACGAAAAAUGGAUAACAUAUUUGGAGAAUAUAAACAUUUUAUAUUAGUAUAUGUAGAUGAUAUUUUGGUAUUUAGUCAAAAUAUGCAAGAACAUUUAAGACACUUACAAAUAAUCUUUAGACUAUUUGUUAAACAUGGCAUAAUAAUAAGUAAAAAGAAGAUGGAGUUAUGCAAGACUUAUAUUAAUUUCCUAGGAAUAACUCUAGGAAAUGGAAAAGUAAAACUACAACCACACAUAGCAAAGAAAGUACUAGAAAUGCCAGANNNNNNNNNNNNNNNNNNNNNNNNNNNNNNNNNNNNNNNNNNNNNNNNNNNNNNNNNNNNNNNNNNNNNNNNNNNNNNNNNNNNNNNNNNNNNNNNNNNNNNNNNNNNNNNNNNNNNNNNNNNNNNNNNNNNNNNNNNNNNNNNNNNNNNNNNNNNNNNNNNNNNNNNNNNNNNNNNNNNNNNNNNNNNNNNNNNNNNNNNNNNNNNNNNNNNNNNNNNNNNNNNNNNNNNNNNNNNNNNNNNNNNNNNNNNNNNNNNNNNNNNNNNNNNNNNNNNNNNNNNNNNNNNNNNNNNNNNNNNNNNNNNNNNNNNNNNNNNNNNNNNNNNNNNNNNNNNNNNNNNNNNNNNNNNNNNNNNNNNNNNNNNNNNNNNNNNNNNNNNNNNNNNNNNNNNNNNNNNNNNNNNNNNNNNNNNNNNNNNNNNNNNNNNNNNNNNNNNNNNNNNNNNNNNNNNNNNNNNNNNNNNNNNNNNNNNNNNNNNNNNNNNNNNNNNNNNNNNNNNNNNNNNNNNNNNNNNNNNNNNNNNNNNNNNNNNNNNNNNNNNNNNNNNNNNNNNNNNNNNNNNNNNNNNNNNNNNNNNNNNNNNNNNNNNNNNNNNNNNNNNNNNNNNNNNNNNNNNNNNNNNNNNNNNNNNNNNNNNNNNNNNNNNNNNNNNNNNNNNNNNNNNNNNNNNNNNNNNNNNNNNNNNNNNNNNNNNNNNNNNNNNNNNNNNNNNNNNNNNNNNNNNNNNNNNNNNNNNNNNNNNNNNNNNNNNNNNNNNNNNNNNNNNNNNNNNNNNNNNNNNNNNNNNNNNNNNNNNNNNNNNNNNNNNNNNNNNNNNNNNNNNNNNNNNNNNNNNNNNNNNNNNNNNNNNNNNNNNNNNNNNNNNNNNNNNNNNNNNNNNNNNNNNNNNNNNNNNNNNNNNNNNNNNNNNNNNNNNNNNNNNNNNNNNNNNNNNNNNNNNNNNNNNNNNNNNNNNNNNNNNNNNNNNNNNNNNNNNNNNNNNNNNNNNNNNNNNNNNNNNNNNNNNNNNNNNNNNNNNNNNNNNNNNNNNNNNNNNNNNNNNNNNNNNNNNNNNNNNNNNNNNNNNNNNNNNNNNNNNNNNNNNNNNNNNNNNNNNNNNNNNNNNNNNNNNNNNNNNNNNNNNNNNNNNNNNNNNNNNNNNNNNNNNNNNNNNNNNNNNNNNNNNNNNNNNNNNNNNNNNNNNNNNNNNNNNNNNNNNNNNNNNNNNNNNNNNNNNNNNNNNNNNNNNNNNNNNNNNNNNNNNNNNNNNNNNNNNNNNNNNNNNNNNNNNNNNNNNNNNNNNNNNNNNNNNNNNNNNNNNNNNNNNNNNNNNNNNNNNNNNNNNNNNNNNNNNNNNNNNNNNNNNNNNNNNNNNNNNNNNNNNNNNNNNNNNNNNNNNNNNNNNNNNNNNNNNNNNNNNNNNNNNNNNNNNNNNNNNNNNNNNNNNNNNNNNNNNNNNNNNNNNNNNNNNNNNNNNNNNNNNNNNNNNNNNNNNNNNNNNNNNNNNNNNNNNNNNNNNNNNNNNNNNNNNNNNNNNNNNNNNNNNNNNNNNNNNNNNNNNNNNNNNNNNNNNNNNNNNNNNNNNNNNNNNNNNNNNNNNNNNNNNNNNNNNNNNNNNNNNNNNNNNNNNNNNNNNNNNNNNNNNNNNNNNNNNNNNNNNNNNNNNNNNNNNNNNNNNNNNNNNNNNNNNNNNNNNNNNNNNNNNNNNNNNNNNNNNNNNNNNNNNNNNNNNNNNNNNNNNNNNNNNNNNNNNNNNNNNNNNNNNNNNNNNNNNNNNNNNNNNNNNNNNNNNNNNNNNNNNNNNNNNNNNNNNNNNNNNNNNNNNNNNNNNNNNNNNNNNNNNNNNNNNNNNNNNNNNNNNNNNNNNNNNNNNNNNNNNNNNNNNNNNNNNNNNNNNNNNNNNNNNNNNNNNNNNNNNNNNNNNNNNNNNNNNNNNNNNNNNNNNNNNNNNNNNCAACCAACUUCAAAACCUUGAAAUGUUUAAACCCUUCCUCCCAAAAAACUUAUCCAAGCCAAUCUUUCUUAUAUAAACUUUGUAUCAUUGUGAUUUAAAUAAAGGCUUCAAGGUUUCUAUUCAAAUCUUAAGGGGGUUCCCAAAAGGGAAACCUCUUUCCUAGUUACUUCAUGUAAGUUCUUAUUUACAUAUUUUCCCCACAAAAAUAUUUAUGUUCUUAUAUCCAUGUUCAACGUUAUUUUACAUAUUUUUUGUAAAUCAUGUAAAUUAAAUUAUCUAUAAAAUUUUACCCUUAGUAUAUGGUUAGCCUCUUAAUUUCUUAAUACCAACGAUGGAUUAACCUGUAAAUUCCUAGGAAUUCUGGCCUUGAUAGUCCAAUAGGUCUGCAAUUUAGAUAAAGGACGAGUGUUAGCUGCCAGACAAAAAUCUUCUGGGGUGUGGUUAAAGAAGUACGAUGUUAAGAAUAUAGAGGAAGAAAUGAAUAGGGUAAAAAAAAAAAAAGAGUCUGGGGAAAAUGAAGAAUGAUAAACAUGAAGAAACAAUAGGAAAGAGGGAGUACUGAGUAGAUUUUACAAACUGCUAUACUAAAAAAUCAAUCACUAUUUACUGUUUUUAACCUCAUUUUUAUUAUCUUUGAUAAUCAUGGUGUCCGGGUCAGCUUGCACACACCAGGCUAAAUCCCCAGGACCCGUCACCUCUAUCCAGCAAGGCUAGAACAGAUGGGAAGAAGAAACUAGUGUUUGUGAACCUGAGACCUCAUUCGACCACUAGGCCACACCCUUGAAGCAGAUAUUUUGAAGAUAAAUUUUCAUCAAAUUUCAUGGCAAAGCAGAUAUUUGAAAAAUUUUCAUCAAAUUUCAUGGCAAAGCAGAUAUUUGAAGAUAAAUUUUUAAAAUUUGAUCAAAUUUCAUGGCGAAGCAUUUUUUAAAUUUGAUCAAAUUUCAUGGAGAAGCAGAUAAUUUGAAGAUAAAUUUUCAUCAAAUUUCAUGGCAAAGCAGAUAUUUGAAGAUAAAUUUUCAAAAUUUGAUUAAAUUUCACGGCGAAGCAGAUAUUUUGAAGAUAAAUAUUCAAAAUCUAUGAUCAAACGAAAUACCUAAGAGAAAGAGGAUGACGACCAAGCUGGCCUUCAUUGUUCCUUCCCCAACUCCAAACGUCUCCCUCAGAAGUAACAGCAAGUGAAUGAAAAUGCCCGGCGGCGAUUGAAACGACGUCAGGUGGGAGACCCGGAAUUGGAGUGGGCUCGUAAGCGUCGGAGCCCAUUCCAAUUAUGGACCCGGGUAGGCCCAAUGCACCGUGGCUUCCGUCACCAAAGCCCAUUACAGUUGUUUUGGUGCUCAUACAUCGGCGGCAACCCGCCGGAAUUUUAACGCGGUGAAGUAAACGGAGCAUUUGUUCGGGUUUGACCCGAAUUGUGAAAGCGGUUGUUUGAUCCUUUGAAAGUGUUCUAGCCGGAUUAUAACUAGUGCAAACUACAUAAAUUCACACAGUUUGAAAUUUAAUUAUUGAAAAUUUUGAUAUUUUAUAUAAUUACUAAAAAAAAAAAUUGAUUCUACAUCUAUCGAGAUACAUAAUUAACUUUUAAUACAUUCAACAAGAUAUAUUUUUCCUUUAUAAAAAUAUAUAAUUGGCUCUCGAUAUAUCCAACGAAAAUACAUUUUUCCCUUUUCAAGAUAUAUAAUUAACUCACCGUAUAUUUUUUUCAAUUUUGAAUCUGUCGAGAUACAUAAUAAUACAAAAAAGAUAUAUUUUUUCUUUUGUAAGGAUAGAUAAUUAGUUUCCAAUAUAUUUCUUUUUUAUUUUAGAUCUGUCGAGACACAUAAUUUGCCAAAAUUUGAUGUUGUCAAAAUUAUACCUCCAAAAAAGUACAACACGAUCACUGUCAAAUAUAUAACCAAACAAAGGUUGAGAUCGAACCCACAAAGAAUAGACUGAAUCUCUAUCACAAACUUGCUGAAGUAGUCGGAAAGUGCAGAAAAGUAAUUGGAGGAUUUUGUAAAAACAAUAAAGUAGUAACAAAUCUUGAUCGCUUUAGGUUGAAAUCAAUAUGAGAUGAAUACUAGGACUGUGUUCCAACAUCCUACGAUCCUGUCUUAGGGUUAUUUCAAGUUCUAAAUCAAUCUGCUUUCGAUACAUGUAAUGAAGAUACAUAAUUUUAUUGAAGUUUUUGUAAUUACUUCAUAAGGAUGAAAAUUUGUGUAAAUAUUAUAUAUUAGGUGUAUAUUUAUGUUAUUUUUUCUAAUUAUUUCGACCUUGAACCCAAGCAGGACCUUCAAAAGUACCAUAAAUCCCCAAAUAUAUAUCGCGAUCCACGACUAUAUAAUGUAUGAAUAUAAAAUAAUUUUAUCUAUAAGCCAGAAGUUUAAAAUAUUGCUUAAAAGAUAAUGAAUUUAUUUAAUUGUUCAUAAAUUGUCUUAUACAUAAAAAUUAAAACUUUGGACAUGUUAUUUAUUCAACAUGAACUUUAACUUUUACUUAUAAUAACACUCUGUGUAUUUGACCCUUUUUUGCCAUUACUUUCCUUAAGUGGAAGAUUUAUCGAAAAUAUCCGUUUUAGCUCUAAGAAACAAAAAUAAAUUCUGUAUAGUUUAUCCUUUCUAGAUUCACCAUGUAAGAACACAAUGAAUAUGUUGAAGUUGUUGUUGUUAUAAUAAAUAAAAUACAAAUAAAAAAUAAACUAAAUUACUUUUUUUAUUUCAAUUUGUCUGACUUAUUUUUCUUUAGUCUUCAAAAGGAAUGACCAUUUUAUUUUUUAAUAAUUUUUUAUUUUAUUUUUUUACAUAACAUGCUUAAUAUCACAAAAUUAAAAGAUAUUUUAAUAUAUUUAACAUAUUUUUAAUUUAAGAUCAUCUGAAUCAUCAGUCUUCUUUAUCCUCUUAAACUUCAUGCCAAGUUAAAAUACACCAAAUAAAUUGAAAUGAAGAGAGUAUAUUAUUUUUAUCACAGUUAUUGACAAAGUCAAAAUUUUCACGAAGGACAUUCAUAAGUGAACAUACGAACUAAUCGAAAAGGGUUUAACAUAUAUAUAUAUAUAUAUAUAUAUAUAUAUACUAUAUACUCUUAUGGUUAAAAUAAUUUUAACCAUAUAUAUACAACGUAAUUUUUCAUUGAAAGAAGUUGGAAUGAACCCCCAACCCAAGAGCAGCUACACCCCUAACCACAACUAGUAUUUUUGUUAAGUUGAGGAUUAAUCAGAAACAUGUUCACUAUCUCACAAGAUAGGACUGAAGUUUGCAAAUACUUCACGCUUUCUAGAUCUCACUACAUAAAAUUAUACUUAAUAUGUUAUUGUUAUUAUAUUAAAUAAAGAGUUAAGCUUCCGGUAUCCUCAAAUUAUGAUCAAAGUUGCUCUGACACAGUUCAACUUCACAGGGGCCCUAUUACUCCUGAACUCAAUUUUAACAUAUUUUUAUCACCCUUUUGUGCUGAUGUGAGGUGUUACGUCAGCUAAAAUAAUUAAUAAAAGAUAUCACGUCAGAUAAAAGAUUAUAAAAACAUCCUAAAAGUUGGUUCAAAGAAUAAUAGAACUCCAUAGAAUUGAAGCAUAUCAUAGCAAAUUUUAUCGUAGUUCCGAGAUACUAGAUGGUUUACUUUAAAUAAAAUGAAACUAAAAUAAACCAAAAACAUUAUACAUGAGUGAAUCUAGGAGAAGCCAGAUGGCAACACCAAACAAGAUUUUCAUUCAUUUCUAACUACAAAAAAAUACAACAAGUUAUAGUAAUAUCUCUUAUCUGAUUUAAUAAAUCCACAUGUCCACUUGUAAUUUGUCCAUAAGAUUACAACUUUAUCUUCAAUAUUCACACAUUUUAUAGCCACCACAAUUUUCAUUCUUUUCACUAGCCCCACAAAAAUAACUUUGUCCACUUAUUUUGCCACCUUUGUAUAUUUAUUUUAUUGGAGCUAAGUGUUUUAUAUUAUUCUUCUCCAUAUCAUAUCAUAUACAACAAAUAAGAAAAGAAGAGAAGAAAAGAAAUUAUGGCAACUCAAGCAUUGAUCUCUUCAUCAUCAAUUAGCACUUCUGCUGAGGCUGCAAGACAAAUUCUUGGAUCAAGAAAUGCACAAUCUCUUGGUAGAAAAGCUUCUUUUGUUGUGAGGGCUACUUCCACUCCACCUGUCAAGGUAAUUUUCUCGUUUGUUAUACUGUUAUCUGUCCUGGGUCGGAAAUUUACAGGAAGUAGUCUCUCUACUUCAUAUGAAGUAGCGGUAUGGACUGCGUACACUUUGUGGAAAUACAUUGGGCAUGUAGGUAAUUUUUUCAUUUGUUAUACUGUCAUCUGUCCCGAGUCUAUCGAAAAUAGACCCUCUACUUCAUAUGAGAUAGUAGUAUGGACUGUGUAUAUUUUAAUUACCACUUCUAGACCCCCACUUUGUGGGAAUAAAUUGGGUAUGGAGGUAAUUUUCUCGUUUAUUAUAUUCAGAGGCGAAGUCAGGAUUUCAACGAAGGGGUUUCAUAUUCAAAGAAAACUUAGAUUUCAACUAGGGUUUUCCAUAUCCAAAGAAAACUUAGUCGAAGGGGUUCGACACCUGUUAUAAUCAUAUAAAAAAAUAAUUUUAAUCAUUUAUAUUUUUCCGUCGAAGGGGUUCGGCUCCCCGAACAGAAGACUGGCUCCGCCCCUGAAUAUACUGUUAUCUGUCUUGAAGUAAUCAUAUGGGCUGCAUACACUUUAUCCCUCCCCGACCUCACUUUGUGAGAAUACACUAGAUAUGUAGGUAAUUUUCUCGUUUGUUAUACUGUUAUCUAUCCUAAGUCGAGCGUCUAUAGGAGACAACCUCUCUGCUUCAUAUGAGGUAGUGGUACGAACUGCGUACACUUUACCCCCUUUGAGACUACAUUUUGUAUGAAUAUAUUGGAUUUGUAGGUAAUUUUCUCAUUUGUUAUAUGGUUAUCUGUUCUGAGCCGGAGGUCUAUUGAAAACACACUCUCUACAUCAUAUGAGGUAGUGGUACGAUCUGCGUGCACUUUAUUUUUGCUAGACCCUACUUUGUGGUAAUGCACUGCAUGUGUUGUUGUUGUGUUUAACUGAAAAAAGAGUUAGAACUGUUGAAUUUGACUUUUGUGUUGGCAAUGAUUGAAGUAUAUUGAAAUAAUGGUUGACAAUUAGCUUGAUAUAGAAAUAUAACAUCAAUGUUUAAUAUUUAAUUCACAUAAUAAAUAAGCAUCUCCUUUAACUUGGCAUCAUGGCAUCAGUUUACAUGUAUGACCUUCGAUUUUGGAUGCGCAUAAGUAGAUCUUUAGACUUGUAUAAAGUUGAACAAAUAGAUACAUAUAUCCUAUGUGGCGUCCUACGUGACUAAUUCUUGUCCUACAUGGCGUGCUACGCGUAUUAUGCCACAUAGGACGUGUGUGUUUACUUGAUCAACUUUAUACAAGUUCAAGUGUCGACUUGUGCAUAUCCAAAGUUAGAGGUCAGAGAUGUGAGCCGAGGUCUAGUUAAAAACAUGCUUGUGUAUUAUGUCAAAGUAAAAAAAUUUCAUUUUAUAUAUUAUAGUAUUUGACUAAAGUGUAUAUUUCAUUAUUUUUUUUUACAGCAAGGAGCAGAUAGGCCACUCUGGUUUGCAUCCAAACAGAGUCUUUCAUACUUGGAUGGCACGUAAGAUUUAUGACACUUUUCUGUGACUUAAUCCAACUCUUCCAAUAAUCUUUUCGAAUUUAUGUUUUGUGCACUGACAAUGUAAAAAACAUUAUAUCGACUUGAAACGAAUCUAGGAUCAAAACUUCUAAAAUUGAAUUGCAUACAUACAUAGUAUAAGAACUCCUGGUGCACAUGUAUAGUAUAAGAACUCUGGGUAUGUUGUUGUUGUUGUUGUAUUAUAUUGCAUAGAUCAUAUAAAUUUUGUUUAUAUUGUCGGCCUAAAUAAGUCAUGAGUCGAGGGUCUAUCGGAAACGGUAUCUCUACUUCAUCUGAGGUAGUGGUAUGGAUUGCAUACGCUUUACCCUCCUCAGACCCAACUUUGUGGGAAUACACCGGGUAUGAUGAUGUUGUUGUCGUCAGUGUAUAUAACUUGAACUCAAACCUAAAACGCUGUCUGAAGUCCACUAACUGAAAAAAUGUUUGUUGGUCCACAGUCUUCCAGGUGACUAUGGUUUUGAUCCCUUGGGACUGUCGGACCCCGAGGGGACAGGAGGAUUCAUCGAGCCGAAAUGGCUAGCAUACGGUGAGAUCUUCAACGGGCGUUGCGCUAUGGUAGGAGCAAUAGGUGCAAUAGCACCAGAGAUUCUUGGAAAAGCUGGUCUCAUCCCACAAGAAACAGCACUUGCAUGGUUCCAAACUGGUGUUAUCCCACCAGCAGGAACAUACAACUACUGGGCAGACAAUUACACAUUGUUCGUUUUCGAAAUGGCACUCGUGGGGUUCGCUGAGCACCGGAGAUUCCAGGAUUGGUACAACCCUGGUUCAAUGGGUAAACAAUACUUCUUAGGCCUUGAAAAGGGGUUAGGUGGUUCAGGUGAACCGGCAUAUCCCGGUGGACCGUUCUUUAACCCUCUUGGAUUAGCCAAAGAUGAGAAGUCUAAGAAGGAUAUGAGACUCAAGGAAGUGAAGAAUGGAAGGCUUGCUAUGUUGGCAAUUCUGGGAUAUUUUGUUCAAGCAUUGGUUACUGGUGUUGGACCAUACCAAAACCUUCUUGAUCAUUUGGCUGAUCCUGUACACAACAAUAUCUUGACAAGUCUCAAGUUCCACUAAAACUUGUAGCAAAAUCACUCUUUUCUUCAAAAUCUCCUCUCCCCUCUUCUCUUUAUGUGUAAUGUAACAUUAUGUGCAGAUAAUAUUCUUCGUGUCAUCUGUAAUGCUAAACAAAAACAAGGGACAUGUGCCUGAUAUAUAUGUUUUAGAGUCAUAUUCAUCUGGUAUUCGGUACUCACUGAUCUGACUGAAUCAAAUUCGUGCAGCGUAAGUACUGUUAAGCGGGAAAAGCAAACUUAGAAGUGAAGAUUCAUAGAGCCGAUCAAUUAGUUUGGGAGUGAAGCAUAUUAUAUCUGAAGUCGUCGCUACAUCCACCUCCAUCUUAAGAUGAUGACUGAAUGCUAUGCUGGGUUCGAAAUCGAUAAUAUAUAAUGGAUAGUACUAUAUAUAUAAUGGUGCACCAUAUAAAAUAACAAAAAAAAAAAAAAGAAAAAAAGAAAAGUGCACUAUAUAAUGUAUAGUACACAAAAUUAGUGCACUCGAUGGAAAAAAAUGGAUAAUACUCAAAAAGAUUGCAUUUCCCACUGUAGAAAAAAAAAAAAAAAGGGCACAAAUCCUAUUUUGAUCACCUUCUACUUUCAGGACAUAGAUUCAUCAUUGUUUUUGAAUUAGGGGCAUAUUUCAGUUCCGGGGAAGGACUCCACCACAAGGGUGUAUUGUAUGUAGUCUGACCUUACAUUUCUACAAGAGAUGUCCUUGCUAUGAUAAGAUAUUAUCUCGAGCAAUAUAUUAGUAAUCAUGAUCAGAACACCAUCAGAUAUGUCCUUGCUAAUGAUAAGUUAAAGACUACAAUAUAUUAUUUGAGAUGCAGAGACACUUUAAAUGAGAUGUUUGGGGCAGCAAUUUACUGUACAGGAGUCUCUAACCAAAGUUAAAUUACACGUAAAGAAGCACGCACACCUCCUAGGCUCGUAAGAGUUGCAUUACGAAAGUGUCAAAUUCCCUUAUCCAAAGUGACAGACUCGUGGCGUAGCUUGUAAUAUCAUAAACAAGUAAUGCGCCCGCGCAGCCCCUCUGUAAUAUGACCUUAUGUAUCUGAAUGAUUCUUGACCACCCUGACGCGAGAAUAUUUAUAAGGUCAUAUUACAGAGGGGAUGGUCCUUAUAAAUGUUCUCGCAUUGUCAGUUGGUCCAGAUCAUCUCUGGGAUACGUCCAUGAUCUGUAAAUUUAUUGAUUGAUUUGUUGUCAAUUGUGAUCAUUCGAGCUCCAAAUUCAACGCCAAUGGUCAGGUCAUGGACUGGUUGAAACCGUUUGUCCAUAAAUUGCAGAAGUAGACGUGACUUUCCAACUCCUGUACAGAGAAUAUUAAAUCUCUAUAAAUGAUGUAUCGCAUAAUAAGUAUCCCACAUCGGAAAAGGAAUGGGUAACUGGUCUCCUCCUUAUAUGGACUUGGGCAAUCCUCUCUUCAUGAGAUAGGCCCAGUAUCCAUUGUUUACAUGGUAUCAGAGCUAGGCUCAUUACAAAUCUUCGUUCACCAAUGUCAUAAGAAAUGACUUUCCAAAGAGGGGGAUCGGGGCGUGGUGCACUCUUUCAUGGCACAAUAAAAGUUCUGGGUAAGGGAGGGUAAAAUGUACUACGCAGUCCAUACCCACUUACCUCGGACGAAGUAGAGAUGUUGUUUCCGAUAGACUUCGGCUCAGGACAAACUUUCUAGUAGACAGUUAAUAUUGCAUUUGUGUCAGAUCCUCCGAUGAAAAUCAGGACUCUCCAAAAAUGUUGUUGCAUUCGUGUCAGAUACUCUAGUUUCCUCAUGCUCGGACUCUCCAAAAAUGUUGUUGCAUUCGUGUUAGAUCCUCUAGUUUCCUCAUGAUAAGGUUAAGGUUGCUCGGACUCUCCAAAAAUGUUGACGCUCCUUCUGGGGGUUACUCCACGCAUCCAUCGGCAUUUUCAAAGUCCAAGCAAUAUAUGCCAAAACUCUAGUUCCCCGUUGAUAUCACGAUGAUAUAAUGUACCCAACAAACCUAAAACACACAUAUGUCUAACAAAAAAAUCCUUUCUUUUCAAAAUGACCGAUUGCAGAAGCAACAUGAAUAUAUGAUUCGUCUACAAAGUGUUAAGAAAUGCAGCGCAAAAAUAGAAGACUACUAAAAUGCCAGGACUUAAAUAGCAACAUAUACUCUCAAUCAUUGCUCAUGAGCUUCGUAAGGCACAAUAGCUAUAAAAUCUAUUACCGGUAAAGUUGCUACCAUGUAACCAGGAGGUCACAGGUUCGAGUCUUAGAAACAGCCUCGGGUAGAAAUGCAAGAUACGACUGCGUACGAUACACCCUUGUGGUGAGCCGUUCCCCGGACACCGUGCAUAGUGCAUCACACUGCUUCUUUUUUUUUUUUCCCCUUCAGAAGGAACAAUAGCCAUACAAUCCACUGCAACUGAACCUUCAAUUUCUUUUCCAGCUUUACAAGCAGUGCAAAAACACUAGGACCAAAAGAACUAAACUAACAUUGCUGUUAAAGAAAUACAUUGAACCUACUAAUGAGAUCCAAAAUACAGAAAACAACUAUAGGAAGUGAAAAGGCAAUAAAAUUAGCACCACCAUUAACAAACAACUGUUCAAAAUCUAUUUUGUGUCUACCAAGUUAUGAAAUCCAGCACAAAAAUAGAAGAGGAUUGUUAUCGAAUCAAACAGGAAUAAGCGAAACGAAAAAUAAAAAGAACACACAGAUUUACAUGGAAAUCCUUGACGGAAAAAAUAACGGGCAGAGGAGGAAAAAUUCACUAUAAUAGAGGAAUACAAUGAGGAGACGAAAGUCUCAAUGAUGUAUAUAUAUCACGUCCAAAACAACCCACUAAAUAAUAAAGUCAAUAGCUUAUUUGUAGAGUUCUCUAAGCUAUAAUCUGUCUCUUGUUAAUAUGAUGAAACACAAGUAGAGAUAAAUCAUAUUUAAAGUUUAUGCAUUUCUAGAUCUCAAGUUAAUAAAAUUGGAUUUAAAGUUAAAUAUUUAUGAUACUUAGUAGAAUUUUUAAUAUAUAUACAGUCAUAUCUCUUUAUAACAAUAUUGUUGGUUCCGAGAUUGUUUGGCUACUAUAAUGAUGAAUUGUUACACAUCUGUAAUAAUAUCUAACAUCUAAAUAAUAUUUAACUGUGAUAGAUUAAAAAAUUACAUAAAUCUAAAUUUUUAGUUUUAAUGUUACAAAAUAAUUAAAUUAUUUGAAUUUAAAAUCUCAAAGAUAUGCCUACUUCACUAACAAAAAACUAAUGAAAGUUAAUACAAUUUUAAUAAGUUGAAAAUUAAAUGUAUAAGGAUAUAAGUUUAUAAUUGUAGCUUGUUCCAUAAAUUCAUAUAAUAUUCUUUGUCAUAAAUAAUCUAUUACAGUAUCAAAAUAUUUUAGUCAAAAUUUCUAGACCUAUUAUUGGUAAUCUUAGAGAUUCUAUUCAUACAAAGGUGGUUAAUUAUUAUAUAACCAAAAAGAAAAAAAGAAAAGAAAAGAACAUUUGUCAUAAUAAGUAGGUAGUUUUACAAAGAACAUACUAUUAUAUGGCUAUUGUUGUUAUUGGCAAAAGAGUAAUUACAUGGUUAUUGUUGUUAUUAGCAAAAAUGUAAUUAUAGAAAAGUAAAAUAUACGAAAAAUAUUUAAGAAAAUACUAAUCAUUAUAAUGAAGAAAAGACAUAAGUAUCACCAAACCUAUGACAAAAUUUUAAGGAUACACCUUUACUUUUCCAAUAUUUUGUUACCCUCCUGAACAUAUGGCUCAAUGAUACUUCUGGCUUAAAGCGAAACUUCAAGAGAGGUCUUAAUAAUUUUAUCAGAGAAAGAAAUAUUUAUAUAUAAUUUUAUUUGAUGUUAAUUUGUUGAAGAUAUAUAAUAAAUUUCUCACCAACUUCUUCUUCAAGCAUCCUACAUGGCUAAUUACGUAAAAUACAUAUGUUUUGCAUGUCAAAUUACUUUAGAUUUGCCACGUAGGAUGUGAGUGUCUACUUAUUUAACUUUAUGAUAGUUUAGUGACAAUUUGUGCAGACUCAAAAUUGAAUGGCAUAAAUGCUAGUUGAAACUAGAUUAAAGAACAUAUUUAUUGGUUGUGACAAAAUAAUAUGAAUUAUAUGAAUUAUGAUAAUGAUGAUUGUUUAUACAUGAAGAAAAAUAGGACUAUUUAUAAGUAAGGUGUUUGGGGAGAUUCCAGUAUUUUACUUCUCAAUUUAUCUCAACAGUACCAUCAUUUUUUUUUAAAAAAUAAAAAUUGCACAUAUUUAAAUAUUUUUUUAAAAAAUAACAAGGAGUACCAAUGUCAUGAUUCAAAAACUUAGGUCAUAAUGAUACCUACUUUAUUCCACUAAUAGUUAAGUCAGAAUCAUAGCCCCAAACGGUGAUUAACGGACUAACAUGCAGAAGAAGAAAAUACACAAUUAAAAUAAUAAUUUAGAGCAACACUAUAUGUAUAUGCAUGUAUAUAUAUGUAUGUAUAUGUAUGUGUCACACCCCUUUUUACCCACAAGAUUGAUUUUAAGUUCGAAAAGUGUUUUAUUAUUAAGUGACAAAAGAAAAUAAUUUGUUUCGAAAAGGAUUGUUUACAUUCAAACUUAGAGUCUCCACUUGACAUAAAUCUGGUGUGCCAAGUCACCUUUUAAAAUCCUAUUUCAAAAUGAUUUUUGACUCUUUCAAAAUUGAUCCACGAACAGAGAUUUCGAUUAAUGAAUUCUGUUGACCGAGAGAAAGGUGUUAGGCACCCCUCGAUCCCGUGCUUCGACCAUGGUCGCUUCGUGGAGUGUAUCGGCUAGUUUGACACUAUAAAAUGAAUAAACCAAACAAAACACACAACACAUAAGAAACAAGCAAUCAAAUAGUCAAAAGUCCGAAAUAGUGUCCAGUCCAUUUAUUACAGUCCAAAAUAAAAGAUACUGAAAUAAACCUACUCUAACCUACACUAGUCCUAAACUAUGCUCUACCCGAUGCCUCGGGCCUUGAUCACGAACGUCCUUCGCAUACAAGAUACUUCGGGGCAUACCCAGGUGAAUAAGUACAAAUGGCCUCGGGGCAUUCCCGGCUAAAUGAAUACAUUUACAAUUUCAAGCGACAAAGUGAAACAAUCUCAAGCACAAUCAUUCAAUCAUUCCACAAUCGUUAAUUUCUACAAUUUGCCUAUCCAACUUAGUAUUUGCCGACCCAUUUGACGGCCUAAUCAUGAUAUUGUCAUGUUAAACAACAUUCAAUGUCCAUUUCAAAUCAAUCAACGAUUCAAUGAAUUAAAUUAAUUAAUAUUCACCCUUUUUAUUAUUUUUUCAAUUCCCGACCCAACUUGAAUUCUAAGUAAUGGUUCGAACAUAACAAUUCACGAUUAAUAUUUUUUAACCAUCCAUAAUCAAUAUAAUAUAACAUUUAUCAUUCACAUCACGCAUAAAAUAAGAGAAAGCUGAGAUGAUAAAUAUCAAUCACACAUAAAAAUAUAGAAUUAACUAAGAAUAAGAAUUAAGAUUAAGAGAUGGACCUUAAAUUGGGGCUUUCGAGCUAUGAGUAUUAUUUGAUCACACUUUUGACUUCAAACCGAGCAGUUGACCGGAGCUCACGAACAGGACCUCAUCAGAACCUCAAAUUGGAAUAUGUGAAUCCGAAAUCUUCAAUCCAAACUUGAUUUGUAACUAAACCCACAAUCGUUUUUCUAAUUUAUUUUGGCGCUAGGCUGACUGAUUGUGUUGUUUCCCGACGAGAAUCAAAGAGAAUGGAGUUGUUCUUGUUUUCCGAUGGAUAUGGGUCGUUUCCAGCGAGGAUCUUGGUCACCGAUUUUAAUGGGUUUUUUGACUGGAUCUAGUUUGAGGAGUUUUCCUGCCAGACUCCGGUGAGCUUCACUAGCGAUUCAAGCAGUGAUGAAAGCUAUAAUUCCGACGAGAGUGUCACCGAAAAAUUAAGGACUGACCUAUUUUCUCUAAAUUUCUCACUGUCUCUCUCACCUGAUCUCCCCUCUCUCAUUUUCUCUCUCUAUCUUACUGGUUUUGUGCGUCAGGGUAUGUCUAUAAUAGUGUGUGGUACCAGUUGAUGUACGUGUGUAUUGUAUUAUGUGUGUAGAGAGUAUCUCCUUGUGAAUGUGUGCUUAAUCCAUGGAAAUAAAGGAGAUGUAUAUGUGUGUUCGUUUUUGUGUGUGUGAAUUUUGUUGAGAGAUAUAUUAUGUGUGAUUCCCUGAGAGUUAUGUGUGACUGCAACGCCCCAAGAGUACACCCUAGAUGCCACACGGUGCUAGAAACCACAAGUGAUCCCAGUCUAACUCAUGAUUGACAUACUAUUAAGCAACUAAAUUAUAACAUAAUAAAUAGCUAUUCUGCUUUGUGGAAAUAUAAUCAUGACAAAAUCUGAGAGAAAUUAUAUUACUAAUACACUUUUCUAUCUGAUAGAAACUGAGGAGAGAACUGAAAUUACAUGAUUGACUUUGACUGACAUCUAUGAAGCCUCUACUAUACUGAAUAUAGUAGAUGGGACAUGCCUCCAACUACCCCUAAUCAAUACAUAUGAAAAAUAAAUGAACUGUACAUGAACUAAAAUUGUCUGUAGUUUCUGAAAUAAGAGAACUCAUCACUUGUUGGCUGAAAAUUGCAACUGUCUGAUCAUGAUGUGCGGGAUACAAAUGGUACCUACAUUAUGAAAUAAUGUAGCCACACAGACAUAUAUGUGGAUCAACACUUCUAGAAUGUACUGUGUAUGCAGGGGUGAAUGCAAUAAGUAAAACAACUUUUAUACGUAAUCUUAGAACGUGCAUGCUAAGUGUAAGUAGACUCAAAAAUAGGCUGGAAUAAACUAAAAGCUGAAAUAUCUUAAAAGCAUGAGCAACAAACAUAAUCUAGUAAGCUGGUGAAUCUCUACACUUAGUUUAUGUAAAACUUUACUUUUUUAUAAUGUAAGUAGAACUGAAGCUGGGAUACGGUAAAAGAUGGAUACAUAAACCUAUAUAUUGAGUAGCUGAUAUAUGAAUAUGGACUGCUGAUACUUGUACACUGAAUAGAUAAUGACUGAAUACUGAUCACGUAAUACUGAACUAUAGUUAGUCUAAAUAACUGGGCUGAAAUUGUAGAGUACUAUGCUUAUGAGGUAAGGACUAUCAAAACAACAUGAGAUAACUGAGCAUGCAUGCGUGAAAACUGUAAUAUAUGAGAAUGAAAGAGUAAGUGUAUAUCUGUUAUGGUACUGAGAUAAAAGGACCAAGGUGUCAAGCCUAAACUGACGGGUGACCCCUGAGAGGUAGUCAAGCCUAAAUUGACGGGUGACUCCUCGAAUCCUACAUUGGAUACGUAGUUCUAGAAUACAGGGACCGCUACUAAUGACUCUGCCUAACUGAUGGGGAAGCCGCCAUCCCUGUACUCACUCGGUACUAAAUCCUACUCUCAACUGAACUGACUCGAGAUACUGAACUGUUCUUAGUUUAACUGAUUAUGAUAACUGACUGAACUGAUCAUGCUCAUGACAUGUCUGAAAACCAUUCUGAAAAUACUGAAACUAAGUAAACAACUAAGUUUUUGGGUAUUCAUAACCCCCAGGACUCGAUAGCAAUAGCGACAGGGAUAUACUAAAGCUUCGAAACCAUAAUAAGAAAGAAUUAUUUAAAGAAACCCAUCACUUGGAUAUUUUAUCAAACACAUGGAGAUUAGUACUUUAACAUAGGACAAUCCAUCAAACACACGGGGAUCAUGAACUAGAACAUAGUAAUAUCUCAAACAUGGGAGCAUAACAUGAUUGCAUAACUAAAAUCAUGAAUCGGGGAAUUUACAUGAAAUUAGUUUGAAAUUGGACAUGGGCGUAUCAUCAAAACAUAUAAAGAUCACAGCUUGAACGUAAGAAUGUCUUAAACAUGAGAGAACAAUAGAGUUACACGGCAAAAUUCAUAACUUGGGGAUUCAUCUUGAAAUUGAUUGAAAAUGAUAUGGGGAUUUCAUCAAAUAUGUGGAAGUCAUGAAUUUACAACAUGGGAAUAUUGCUAAACAUCAUGAAUUUAGGAUCUAUCAUGGGAUUUACUUGAAUAAAACAUGAGAAACUCAAAUUCAUAGCAUGAGGAAUUCAAAAUCUUGCAUAGAAUCAUACAUGGGCUGAAUUGAAACAAAAAUACCAUGAAAACAUGAACUUCAAUCUUUCUUGAACAUUCAAAAUACCAUAAUAAUGGAAAAUUCAUUCUUUACUUAAACGAAAAGGGUUUUGGGGUUCCAUAAGUGAAACAGGACCCAUGGAUGAACUCCUACAUACCUUAAAACUUUAAAUCUUGAAGAAGAAAUAAAAUCUUGGAAGUUUUCUUGAAUUGAGAAACUUGAUUCUUGAUGGUUCUUGAAGAGGAGAAUUGAAUAAUUUUCUUGGGAUUAGAUUAGGGUUUCUUGGAGAGAAAAGGGAAGGAGAAUGGGAAAAUUAUGCCCUAAAUGAUAUAUUAACUCGUGUAUAUACGACUUGUCUUGAGGAAAAAAAACUUAACUGUCCCUUAGAUAUUUAAAUUAGUGAUCGGAUCUCAAUUCUACACCUUACCGCGAUUCGGUACCAUCACGGCAGCUUACUGCCUCACACGAAAAAUGCUAUAACUUUUCACUCGAGUAUCAAAUUAAGACAAAAUUGGUAUCAUUGGAAAACUGAUUCAAUUAUCUACAAUUUGGUGGGUCUUUAGUUGAAAAAUUAUACAUACAUUAAAAGUUAUAUAUUUUUGAAGUUGACCUUUGUAGAAUCAAACCCCAAACUUUGGACUAAUGUAAGGUUCUUAGCUCAACUUAGCUCUAAGUGAUUUCUAGGAACAUUAUUCACCUAAUAAUCACUUCACACACUAGGAUAAACAUCAUGACAUAUGAAUUUUAAAUUAUGGAUCAAUAACAUGACAAAUACACCUUCAUCGCGAUGCAGUGGAAUCGCGUUGAGCUUCUGAAAUUCGUUAGUUAAAGGACGAGGGUGGUUUAGGGGAUUGACAUGAUCUGAGCUUAUUGCGUUGAUCCACUGGAAAUAGACGAGUGCAAUUUUACACCUUGGUGCGAUAUGGCGCCAUUGCGGUGCUUCACUGAAAAAAGAACAAGUGCGAUUUUGCACUUCACCGCGAUGCAGUGCGAUCAUAGUGAGCCACUAGAAAUAUAAUCCAAACACCAUUCAAACCUUUUCCGAAAAUUUUGAAACUUCCUUGAGACAUGCUCCUUGCACCCCUGAACAUGAAUCAACUAAAAAACCAUCAUCUCAAAGCCCGAAAGAUCCACUUAAAAAUCCACGAAGUUAAGGAGUCAAAUAUAUGACUAAGUCUCCAUCACAUAGUGAAAUUUUCAUGUUCUAAGAUUCUUAUGUAUGCACUUGGAGCUGAACUAAACUAAGGAUAAUACGAAGUAUUAUAGUAAGUGUGUGUAUAUAUUGGUGUAUUGUAGUGUUAUGUGUUCUGUUCUCUAUAUUCGAUGGUGAGGGUGUGUGUAUCAAUUAUGUGAGAGGCGUAUGUGUGGGUGUAUAAGAAUGAAGUUGUAUGAGAAACAUAAAUUGGGGUAGGGUGCACAUAGUAGGGGGUAUGUAGAGGUAGGGGGUAUAGGUUGUUAUUUUGUUCAGGGUGAGGUGUCCCAAGUUGUUAAGAAUUUAUUGGAUUUGUUAUUGUGUGAAACUUAUCACAUAGGUGAAGGUAUAUGCAUGGUAAGAUGGAGUAAAAAUGGUAAAAAAAGAUUUUGGGGAGGGACAAAAUUAUAUGUCUACAAAGAAGUAGACAAAAUUUUAACCCAACUAUUAUUUAAAAAAAAGGAUAGAGUACCACCGUGUUUUGAUUUAGGACAUCCUACCUACUAAAGUUAUGAGAGAAUCAAGUCACAGGUAUCUUAAAGGUCUAGAAGGAGAAGAACUAUACCUAGUAGGAGAGUCGAGUGAGAUGCCAUCGAGGUUCCGGUCAGCGGCUCUGUCAUUACAUCAAAAAUGAAAAUUACAAGUUAAAAACAUAAAUAAAAUUACAAAAGUCCUAUUUAUACAUCUUUUCUUGGCUCUUGACUUGCUAUUUCAUCACCUUAUUCUCCAGGCAGUUCCUGACUUGCAAUAUCCUUACUCUAUUCUCCGGGCGAGCUCCUGACUUACAAUUUCAUCACCUUGUUGCUUGGAUUUCAAUUUCUUCACUCUGUUCUCUAGGCGGGAUCCUGACUUGCCAUUUCUUCAAUAUGUUAACUUUCAAUUUCUUCACCUUGUUGCUUGACUUUCAACUUCUUCACCUUGUUGCUUGACAUUCCAUUUAUUCACCUUAUUCUCCUGGUAGGCUCUUGAAAUCACAUUAAAACUAUAAAGAAAAUUAUCUCAAACAAAGGUUAUGAUAGAAAUCUCACUUUUAAAAAAUAAAGUCUCAGUUUUCAAGAGAGUCUUAAAUGACGCUUUCAAUAACAUGAAUUGAAUUUUUUUCCCUAGUUUAUCAUCCAAAAACUUUUGCGAAUGUCAAAUCCAAUCGUAACUACUUGCAUGCUGCAAUGAUGAAUCAAGACUCUGACCAAGAAAUGCAUCUCUUGAGAGUAAAAUUAAAUGACCAAGACUAGGAAAUGCGUCUUCUAAGAAUUAAAGUGAGGAAUUCCGACUAGAAAGUGUAUCUUCUAGAGAUAAAAGUUUAAGUUAGGAAGUGUGUCACCUGACAAAUGAAAACUCACAAGGAAGUGCAUCUCUUAAGGGGUUGCUUCUAGGAGUGAAGGUUCAAUUUAGAAAGGGCAUCACCUGAUAAAAAAAAUCUGAAUUGCUCAGAUAAGGAGGUGCAUCUCCUAGGGAUUGCAUGGAAGAGACUAGAAAGUGCAUCUUCUAGGAGUAAAGGCUUAAGUGAGGAAAUGUGUCACCUAGAAAACCAAACUUGAACUACCCUGACAAGAAAGUGUGUCUCCUAAGGGUUAAGUGGAAUUACUCGACUAGAAAAUGCAAUUUCUAGGAGUAAAUGCUUAAGUUAGGAAGUGAACCACUUUACAAGGGAAACUCGAAUUACCUGACAAGAAAGUGUGUAUCCUACGGGUUAACUACUCAACUAAAAAGUACAUUUUCUAGGAGUAAAGACUUGAGUUAGAAAGUGAAUUACCUGGCAAGUGAAACUUAAAUACCUACCAAUGAAGUGUGUCUCCUAAGGGUCAAGUAGAAUGACUCGACUAGAAAGUGAAUUUUCUAGGAGUCAAGACUUAAGUUAGGAAGUGCAUCACCUAACAAGUAAAAUUUGAAUUACCUUACAAAUGCCACUUGAAUUAACUAAGAAAAUGCGUCUCCUUACAAAUACUACUUAAUUUAUCCAGAGAAGAAAAUAUGUCCCCUAAAUAUUAAAUGGAAGGACUCAACUAGAAAGUGUGACUUCUAGGAGUGCAGGUUCAAUUUAGAAAGUGCAUCACCUAAUAAAUGAACCUGAAUUACCCGGACAAGGAAGUGUAUCUCCUGGAGAUAUUGAAUUAUGAGUUUUACCAUAAUUUCAAUUACCAAACCUAUGUAGCAAUAUUGCCUCUUGUAUUUGUAGAAGUGAGAAAUUACGACCUUUAAUGUUUAGGCUUUGAAAUUCUUGAUUUGUAGGUAACAUGUGUUCCUAUUUCAUACAAAGAAAACUUGUGAGUUUAGGAACAUGGUAGCUGGUUUGUGGCUUUAGCUUUUGCAGCAAUCAUUUUUGCCCUCAUCACAUUUAAUCUUGCUUCCAACCAUUAGCAUAUGUCAUUGACUUGCUGCAUCAUUGACCUAAAUUCAGAUUAUUAAGAGUGUUUCUAAAAAAAACAUGGUAUCUCUUCUUUCCCAUGCUCCUUUGAACCUUGGUAUUUCCCUAAGUUCUCAAACUUGUCUUUUGACAAUACUUUCUGCAUGCCUUAUUUCGUCUCACAAUCAUGUCUCUUUCAUGUGCUGACCUUUUGUUUAGCUUUGUACAAUUGGCAAAGUUGAUAGCUAGUUUUGAAAUCUUUUCUCACUUGCUUUGACAUUGAUUUGACUUAAAGACACAACAAAAAUGACUUUCUUUGAAUAUCUGACUCAAGAAAACACAAAUAAAAAUGUAAAGAAGAAAUAACAGACAAUGAAUGUCCAUAUUGAAACAGAGUAAAGCAAAAUUUAUCUAAAAACGACAGUCAAUUCUAAUGAUUAUGCCAUGCAUUUUUAAAUUAAGCUGCCUGAUCUUUCCACUCAAGUUUUCUACCAAUUGUUCUUGAGUUAAUGACACAAAAACUAUGUUACUUUCUUGGGCCAAUUAAAUUUAGUGACAUUAUUCGGCUAGUGGGGCCUUAGAUGGUUUUUUCCAACAAGCCUCUCUCAUUUUUUCUCACCCUUGUCUUACGAUGCCCAUGAGGGUUUUCACUAAUAAUACUCUCUUAUUUUUAUUUCUCUCAACUUAAAAUCUUUUUAUGGUGCCCGUGAGGGUUUUCACCUAUAAGACUCUUUCAUUUUUAUUUCUCCACUAAUUCCUUAUGACGAGGAAGACAAUAGUACCCAAAAUGCAUCAUCAUAUCCAUUGCAUGCUUAGCCUUAACAUUCUCAAAGAUUUAUCUGAAGGUCUUUCUGUGGUUGUAACUUUAUUUUUGGAUAGGAUUAAAAAAAAAGGAUGACAUGAGGCCCAAACGACACUUGAAGUGGGGUAGAACUUACAUUUUUUGGAAUUGACUCAAACAACAAAGAUUAGCUCGUGCCCCAUUUUUUUUGACUGAGCAAUUCUAAAUUAUUUAUUUGGUUUGAUCGUACCCAAGUAGGGCUGCCUACGUAUCUCACCCCCGAGAGAGUAGAAUCAUGUCACAUGUAGUUCCAACAAUUUGUUCUUUUGCUUGAUUCUGAUUUCUUAUUUUUUUUUCUUUUAUUGACUCUUUUUUGGACCUUUUCUAACUUUAUUUUUCUUGACGCUCUUUUUUUUUUUUUUGGACAUAUUUUGUUUUUUUUUCUUUUUGAAACUUUUCUGACUCUAUUAUUUUGCUCUAUACCUUUUCUUUUGAACUUUGCUGACUCUAUCUUAAUUCCUAAAGAGGGGUAUGGAAGAAAAUAGAACUAAAGCUCAAAUGAGGUAAACAAAGGAUAACACAAUAUUUGAAUGGAAGAAUGAAAUACCUUCGUCAUAUCAAUUCUUGAAAAUGCAACUACAUAUCAUGUAAUAUGACAGUGAAAGAUAAAGUUCAUUUGUGAUAUUUUUUACAGCACUAACUUUAACUGAGCAUGUGCGUCACUAUUUUUUCUGCGCUUUGUCUAGCAUACAACUUUACCUUUGUUGUACAUACCUUACAUCGAAUGACUCAUGAUUUUGUGGAGCUGAUUAUCUUUUGGUUUCUCUUGAUAUAGGAUUGUGCAUCCACUUCUUGACCUAAUUAAGAUAUGUAUUUCAAUUGAUGACCAUGUUAUUCUUGUGAUUCUUACCUUAAUUUAAAA
rnacentral:lncRNA from 1 species